GUUCUCCAUGUGGGUAUAAUUUGUACAUCUCUACAGAGUCUUGAAAGCCUGAAGUGCUUCGAGAUGGAAUCGAUUGUCCUUUCUUCUAUACCUUCUGUAGCGUAAUGAUGAACUUAAUAAUGAUACUUGAUUAUGAGAUGAGUUAUAAUAUUGAUCACUUUACUUAUGUUACUUAGUACUACUCGCAAGAACCUUAUAAUUGCUAAAUAACUUAACCAUGAAUCAUGAGCUUGUCAUUCUUUUAAUAAAUGUCAUGCUUUUAUGUAAAUGUACAAAUGUCUAUUAGCCCCUUUUGCGUCCACCAAAUAUAUAUAUAUUGGAAUUAAGUCGUGCGAAUGCACACUGUACUCAUGGUGCUGAAAUUAAGCUAUUUUGUAGGUAAAGGACAAUGGUGGCCAUCUCACCACGUUGUUGGUGGCAAAGUGCGCGAAUGGCAGGAGCAGUCCAAGCUACGGUGGCGACACCCAUGGGCAAGGAGACCACCAAUUACUAGUUAACUAAUUGAUUCGUAGCAUAACGGUGUUGGUAAGAGUGUCUUUUUGGUUCACACUACAUUUAGUCUUAUGUUGUCAAUAAAUGUAUUAAUUCGAUAGGACUUAUAUUUUCGCUGAAUUAUGUGCUCCGAUGAUGUGAUGUGAUCUUGAAUUCUGGAGGCUAUUUUGGUAUGAUACUCAACCAAGAUCUUGGUAGUGAAGACAUGGUUGCAUCUCCAGGGGAAUCGUCGAUGUUGGUUUGCUUAAAUUGAGGUGGUCAAGUGGAUGACACUCGAUUUAGGUAAAUUAACGCGACCGAUCGCUAUAUGAGCUCUCCUAGCUCGGUGCCCUACUAUCAUAUUAGUUAUAUCUUUUGUUAGGGUGCUAUCUAAUUUUAGAUAGAGAGGUGCAGUCGAGGCCAGACCAAUAGUUUACUUCCACACUUAAAUUGGCUAGCUCUUGCGAUUAAUUUUUAGAAAUGACUAUUCAUAUCUCUUUUCAUGUUUCUAUCUUUUGAAAUUUUCAAACACAGGUACUGUAUACUCGUGUAAAUUAUUUAUGGAUGCAAUAUCUAUAGUGACUAGGGGUCACAACCACAACAACAUACUGAUUAUGGUUGCAACACACAUAUUAUUUAGGGACGUAGUAGGCAUAUUGAUUACAGUUAUAAAUUUUUUUUCCUCACGUCUCGUCAUGUUUUUACUUUUAGAAUUUUCAAAUGAUGUAUACUCAUGCAUAUUACUUAAGAUUGAAGUAUGCAUACUGAUUAGGGAUCACAACAUACAUACCGAUUAAGGUUCCAAUGGUAAUCCUAAUUAGGGUCAUAGAAAGCAUACUAAUCAGGCUUAUGGGAUCUCCGUUACCAUCUACUCAUAUUACUACUUUUUAGAUUCUCAAACACAGGUCCCAUAUGCUCAUGCAUACUGAAUUAGUUCGCAUCAUUAAAUAUAUUGAUUAGAAUUUCAAACAAUGGAGGAGGAAAAGGGGCGCAACAACUUGCUUGGUCACCAAGCCGUACUACCUUGAUCCCCACGCGUGGGUGUAGGAGGAGCUCAGCCACCCAAUCUAGGGGAAUGAAGAGCACCGAGGAGGGGAAGAGCCACUGUGAUGAAACCUCCACCAAGCCAUGAAAUUUGUGCCACUGCGGGUUCAACUGGGGACCGUGAAAGGAGCAUUGGAGGGAAAGACUUGUGGUGUUGAUAGAAGACAAAGUCGUCCCUCGAUUUCAAGACAUGGGGCGACCUAAAUCUAAAGAGAAUAUUGCCUUAAGGACUGAUUCAUCCUAGCUCAUUUUAAAAUCUAGUGCCAACAAAAUUAGAAUCAUUCCGUACACAAUGGACCUCACAACCAAACACAUGCUUAGCGAUCAUACAAACAAGAUUGGGAUAUAUCCCUGUUGAAUACGAUAGAGAGCUGCGACACGGACCCAUCUGACUAUUUAAGUUCAUAGAUCAGAAAAUAAAAUGACUAUACUAGAUCAAUUUACAUCUUAGGAUCUUCCAACACCAAUAUAACACAGUAGCAUUUACUAUAGACAUAGUUUCUCAACGCAUUACAACCCUAAUUUUUACCCACCAAAUUAAUCAACUUAUAAGCUUUGUAAUAUAGGUAUAUCCUUAUUUUGUGGUUAGUAACUUAAUUAUAAUAUAAUAUAAUAUAUAUCCUUAUUUUGUGCUUCCUUCCAAGAAAAAAAAUACUGUAACCCAAUCAACAAACUGCAUUGGCGCUGGCCGUCGUCAUUUCCUGAAGAGAUCGGCCGUGAAGGUGAUCCCGGUGCCGGGCAGCCACGCGAGCCCGUCAAUGAAUCGCCUGACGGUGAACCGGCUGGCGACGGCGGCGUCCAUGAUCACGUGGUAGCCGGGCCACUUCACUCGGCCCGCGACGCCCGCCCCGGGCCCGUAGUUCUUGUACUCUCCGUAGAACAGCGUGGCGAGGCCCGUGCUGUGGUCCCCUGAGCCGGCAGCGGCCCACUCGAGCCACCCGCGGGCCUGAAUUCCAGGGCCCAGGUAGGACUCCAUCACGACGACCCGCGAGAAGGGCUUCCACGGGCGGCCCAGGUACGUCGGGUACUUGCCCUCCACCACGCAGCCGUGGAAGGAGAAGCCCGUGUUCUGGUUGGGGUCCUUCCGGCCCUGCGCGGUGACGCUCCCCGUCUGGCCGGGCGCCAGCGGCAGCGUGGCCACCAGGCUCCGCUGCACCACGACGAUGCCGUUGCCGAAGACGAAGUCCACGGUGCCGGCGACGCGGCAGUCCCGGUAGAGCUGCCGGAGCGAGUGCGCGUACAGCGUGUCCUGGUGCCCCUCCACCGCCACGCGGAAGAAGGCGGAGCGGUCCGAGUCCACCCGCAGCGCCACCGCCUGGUGCGCCGCCGGCCCCGCCGUGUUCCUGAACGUCAGGUCCCGCGCGACGAACCCGGCGCCGGCCACCGCUGCAAGCAUUUCGAACCAAGCAAGGAUUAUUCAGAUUGGGACAUGCUUGCAACACGUGCAUCCUGCCUCUCGGAACCAAAGUGCAUCGUCGUAGUAACUCUGCCGCCGCGUAGCUGAAAAUUAGCUAGAAAAAAAGAUGGAUAGGGGGGGCAUGCAGAGCAUGAAGUUACCGAAGGUGGCGCUCCGGAAGGUGGUCCAGCCGCUGGAGAAGCUCCGGCUGCCGGAGAUGACCGUCUCGCCCAUGCCCUCGCCGACGAUGACGAUGUUGGUCUUCUUCUUCCUCACCUCCACGUUCUCGUGGUACACCCCUCGCUUCACGUAGAUCACGUACUUCCGCUUGCUGUGGUUGGGCGCCCGUGCCACCGCCUCGCUGACGGUGCGGUAGCGCCCGCUGCCGUCCUGCGCCACCACGACGUCCACGCGCGUCGACACCCUGCCGGCGCGGGCGCGCUUGGCGACGAGCUCCUCCUCGUCCUGGUCCUGCUUGUCGCCGUCGUCGACCUCGAUGUCCAUCACCCACGGCGGCAGUUCGUCGCCGGCGCCGCCGCCGGAGGUGCCGUUGUUUUUAUUAGUAGGAGGUCCAUGGUGCAGCAGCGGCGUGAUGCUGCGCAGGCGCUUGUGCAUGGCGAGGAGGUUGCUGACCAGCUGCGUGAGCUGCGCUACGGCGGCCUCCACGCGGUGCAGCAGGCGGCCGUCGGUGCCGUGGAAGCCCUCCACGCAGGUGUCCUGGUUGCCGAGCGCAGCGCUGAGCCACGCGUGGAGGUCGUCCUCGGCGCGCCGCGCCGCGGAGCCGCCGCCGCUGGCGUCGGUCUCGGUGUCGGUCUCGGCCAUGGCGUCCAGCGCCCACCCGAGCUCGUCGACGGAGUAUCCCAGGAGCUCGACGCAGUCGCGCACCGCCAUCUCCUCGCGCGGGCGGUUGGACAGCGAGGCGAGUCCGCGGACCGCGCGCACGGCGCCCACGGCCUCGCCGAGCGUGUCGCGGAGCGCGGCGCGGAGGACGGGCACGGGCCCGCUGCCCGCGCCGCCGCGGGCCGUGUCGAGCCGCGACACGCAGGCCUCGCGGUCGCGGCCACCCGACAGGAACGAGACGUUGACGCAGGCCUGGCGCAGCAGCGCGUCCUCGAAGGCCUCCGCCUCACCGGGGCUCUCGAAGGACAGGCCGGCGAACACGGCGCUGGCGUCGGCGCGGCGUGCCAUGACCAUGAGGAGGAGGAGGACCAAGAGCGUCAGCAGCAGGCAGGGGCAGCUGGUAGCGCUCGUAGACGACGCCAUUGCUGAAGCUAAGCUGCAUGCGGCUUGGGGAGUGUCCGCGGGGAGUGGCUUGUGCCAUGUGCAUGAGGCGUGUGUAUAUAGAUGGAGGUAUCAGGUGACCGUGUAGUGUUCUCUGUAGCUAGCUAGGUGCGAACGGAGGCAAGGUAUAGUUUGUUGGGGAAGGAAGACGAGCACGCGGGGCAAGUCUCUGUGAACCCUUUUACGCUCCCUGGGGAAAGGAGUAUAGUUCCUUAAUGUGUUUUACUACGUACUGUUUGAACAUGGUCCUUGAUAAACUUUAGAGCAAAUCAAAGCUAGCAUUGACUCAUGUUUUUCACCAAUUAAAAGAGACGGCCGCAGUUAAUCAAAUGACCAUUCAAGAUGCAGUAGCUAUACUAGCUAUAGAUGAUAGGGGAUCCAUAAGCAUCAUCGGUAGUGAUCAGCCGAACGAUCUUAAGCAAGGGAAGGCGAGGAGUCCGGAGCCCGGACUGACGAUGAGGUUGUGCCAUGCUUGUUGUGCAAUUCACAUGCUUCUGCAUGCAUCAGAUGCGCUAGAUACUUCCAGAGCUGAAAAAAGAGUGUGCGCAGGGGCCGCCGAUCGACCGACCAUUGCGCUGCACUCUCGUAGCUUAGCUAGCAUGCAUGGAUAAGCUACCUCAGCUCGUGAGGGCAGCAGUAGAUGCACCAACACUCAAGGUGUCUAUUCUUCCUUGGUUUUGCUUGGCGGCCAGGGCUUGUGUGGAUGCGCUCGAUCGAAUCGGUGCUGAUUCUGGAUCCACAGAGUCUUACACUAAGGGCACUUGGCACUUGACACUUGUCACUUUGUCAGUAUCACAACUUCAUCACAAGCAUAAUUUGACAGUUGGACGGAAUCGUCAAGAUGCAAAUACAGAGGGGCACGAUCGUCCUCGUCCCACUCCCAGCCGGUGGUGUGCCCCGUCUUGAAGACGCAUCCUCGGUAAAAGAUGAAGCCGCGAGCCCGCGACCACGAGCGACCCUGUUUCGGUUCUUCCCUCAGUGACGUCCGCGCGACGGCGAGCGGCCAUUGUCACAUAAAACGGGUUCUCGACCCUUGACCCGAGUUCGUUGACCCCGCCGAUCUAGUUUUACGAAUUUAUUUUCGAUCCAAAGUGUAAAAAUCUCUGGCAAAUAACAUACCAUGUAUCACGUACAACGAUUCUGUAUCUAGACCCCAUCAACCCAAAAAAUUUGUGACUAUGCGAGCGACCCGGCAGGUUUCGGUUCUUCGGACGCGCUGCUGCCCGUGAUCGGACGCGCUCGGCAGGCUGCCAAAGGAACUCCGGGGCCGGUCGCCGACUCGCCGGGUAGUUUACCUCGCUCCAAUAUGUCAUCGGAAGUGCUACACUGUGGGUUGUGUGAAGGUGGAGAGCUGCAACCGGUGUCUUGUUCGUUUCGUCGUUUUUACAACCAAGAUGGCUUUUGCUGCUGUGCUAACAUAGAAUCAGAGUUUUAGAUUUCGGUGUAAGCAAAAAUAUCGGAGGGAGCUGGUAAGACCGAUAGGCCGAUUUUUUGGUCGAAAUUUCGCUAAAAUUGGUCCAAUACUGGUCAAAUUUUGGCCAAAUUUUAAUCAAAAUUUACCAUACCACUCAAUACCGGUCAAAACGGGCCGAAACUGGUUGAUACCGUAGAGGGCCGGUAGGACCGACUUGACCGAUUUUCGCCGGUUUUCGGCCGGUAUUUAGAACUAUGCAUAGAAUACAUGGCGAACACGAAGUGCAGGUCAAUAGGCAUUUCUUCUUGCUGGUAAGCGGAAAAUCCUCUAGAUAUAUAAUAAGAAUUUCAGCCCAAGAAGCGUAGAUCUCUUGACCAGGGUUCAAAUUUUUUAUGAAAUUUCACGAAUUUCAGUAAUUUUGAUGGUGAACAAAAGCAAAUUCUGAAUUCAUAUUAAAAAGUUAUAAAAUAUUCUUUUAACUCAGAAAAUGUAAAACAAGGUUCUUAUUUCCUCCUAAAAUCAUGCUCUAAGGUUCUUAUUUUCCCCUAAAAUCAUGCUCUAUUUUCUAUGAUCUAGGCACCAUAAUAUAGAACAUGAUUUUAGAAAACAUGUGAAGUCUAACAUCAUGAGCAUGUUAUUUGCCAAGUCACAUACAUUAGAUCGAGAGUCUAAGAAGUCACACGUAGGCUGCGCACCGGCCUGCCACUGAUAUGAUGGUACAAUAAGCCUAAACAAGUCAUCGUUGUGAUGUCUCUUAGAGAAGAUAGUGCUGCUACAAAGUUAAAACACAUCAUACAUAUUUUAAAUGCAAUUAGAACUUGAAUAGUUUCUUAUUCUAAAUUUCCCGUCCAUGUCUCGACAGAUAAACAAUGCAUUGUUGUUGAGCUAAGGAACAUCAGCUUACAUAGCAGGUUGUGUGGUGAUUCAUGCUACGAUCUACAAGGAUUUGUCUUGGUCUACCAUCCUUAGUUUCAUAUCGAGCCCUACAUUGUUUCAUGCCGACGCCAUAGACUGUUAACCUCUCCUCCUCUUAUUCAGACGUCGUUUCAUGCCGGCCGCCACCACCACACCGACAUCGGCAGCUCUCUCCAUGUCGCACGUUGCGACGUACAGUAGCUUGCAUACGGAGGAAUUCGGGACUGCCACACCAGCACGUCAAACCGCUUCUCUCCGCGGGCUACGACACCGCCUUCGAUGACCUCCAUCAUCGUCACCGUCGGGAGCUCGCUCCGCGUCAUGCCCGGCGACUUGCGCCUGCCGUAGAACAAGCACGGGGCGUUAGGCGCGUCCUUCACCGGCACACUGGGGUAGUAAUGCCCGAUCUUUUCCUCUGGACGACGAGGUCCCCCAACGGCGGCACCGAGCUGCGGCUCCGUCACUCUCACAAUCACUCCGUCGGAGUCGGACACCUUCAGCACGCGGCGCCAGGAGCGCGCGCUCAGAUCGGCAUGCAGAGCUGCGGCGAGUUUGCUCGCCGCCGCGAACAGAGCACAGUCGGGGAUGUUGUCGAAUAGUGCCAUGGCGAUGCGCACCAGCUCCGGGCGCUCCUCCGGGUCCGCGCCGCCGAACGAGAGGGCUUUGAAUAAGUACCAGAGCUCCUCCCGGCGCGGCGCGCGCAACCUGAGCGGCGGAACUGUGCCUAGCGCCGAGUGCCUCUCCGUCCUGCUGAUGAUUAUGAUCUUCAUCUCCCCGUGCGCGCGGCGGCGCAUGGACGAGCAGAACCUUCUCCAUCUCUCCUCCUCCUCGCCCCCCUCGCCGCCGGCGAGAUCAAUCACGAAUAUUGCAGCGGAAGCGGAGUCUAUAAAACCUUGAUGUUGAUGAUGAUCAUGAUGGUCAUGGCUCUGUAGAUCAAGAUCGUCACUUCUGAGGUGAUGAAUCUUGGCGAAGUGACCCCGCACCCUCUCGUCGAGACAGGCAUGCUCGAGCAGCGUCCCCUUCCCGACCUCGUGAGGGCCAAUAACCGUGAGGACAUCGAAAUCUUGCGCAGUUGCAGGGUGUAGCAGGAAGCCGAUGCUCUGCUCCUUCUCCAUCUGCCGGCCAAACAUCAUGCACCUCUCCAUGAACAGGUAGGCGCAGUAUGGCUGGCGGUUGAGGCGGGGGCAGGUACCGAGGAGCACGACGAACUCCUCCUUCAUGUCGCUCAACGCGGCCUCAAGGGUGUUCACCACGACGGAGACGACCUGCCUGCUGUGUGUGCCCGCCCGUGCGACGACCACUCGCCAUGGCAUGUGAUCUUCUGCUGGGAUCGACGACGACGACUCGGCUCAUGAAGGCGUCGAGCACGUACGAGCCUCGGCACAUCUCUGCGCCCUCAGCUGGCUGAGCUGCAGCAGCAUCGCCCGGCCAAUGCCGAUGGCAGCACUUCCAUUGCCAUUGCCAAUGCCGAUGGCCAAUGCCCCUCCUAGGCACCUCAAGGUCUCAACCCCUGAUUGACUAAACAGCAAUGAGCCGUGAGCCUGUGAACGUGGAAGGACGCAGCUCUGCAAUUUUAUUUGUUCUUGAUUGUGGGUGCAGUUACGGUGCCACAGCUCAGUCAGUGUCCAAGUUGCCGGUGACCCCGGUACUGAAAAAGAUUGUCUAUGUUGAAGCCGGCCGCUAGCCGCCGAUGAAAGAUAUUAUUAGGGCGGGUCUGCUAACGGGGUAUAACCUGCCCCACACCUGUCCUGUUCCGCUGUGGCGCUGUUGAAUACUCACCCAACUCCGUCCAAAAGAGUGUUUUGGCUUGGGGAAUCCAGCAUCUUCUACGUGUCUCUGUUUUAAAUUGUAAGUUAUUUUAAGAAUCUUGAAGAGUCAAAUUAUUUUAAGUUUAACUAAAUUUAUAUAAUAAAGUAAUUAUUAUUAUCAUAUCAACUAAGUAUCAUUAGAUUCUUUCUUAAUUAUAUUUUCAUAGUGUACUCAUUUUAUAUUACAAAUCUUAAUAUUUUUUCUCUAUAAUUUUGGUCAAACUUAAAAAUGUUUUGACUCUCUAAGAUUUUUAGAAUGACUUAUAAUUUGGAACAGAUUCCAGUGCAACGGAUUCCUAUCUUAUGUUCUAUAUAUGAUUUUUAAGAAAUCAUCCAAAAAAUAAAUUGGUAGAUCAAUGAGUUUUCCAUGUGACUAAAAAAAGUUGGAAAGAUAUUUGUUAGGUUCCCUAAAGUUUCUACAACCUCGGUUCUAAAAUGUUAAGAAACAGUUUUGUUUUAUAAAUCCCAGUCUAUUUCUAAAUUAUCUUAACUAUUUUUAUUUUUUUUCUCUCUUAUAUAUUUACAUUAUAAACCCUAUCAUACUCUUUAUUUCCCCCACGUAUUUCUACCUUUCCUCAAGUUUCACAACAGGAAAAAUGAAAAUAUUUAACCCAUAGUUUUCCAGAAGAAGAGGUGAGGCGGGCCGAGAUGGUUUCUCUCCUGAAUUUUAACAAAAUCUUUUGUAUAAUAUUAUUAAAAAGGGGCUUGAUGGCUCUAUUUGAGGAUUUCAACUGUGGGACACUACCUCUUCACAACUUAAACUUUAGGACAAUUAUUCUUGUACCAAAAACUAAUGAAGCGAAACAAAUUCAACAAUACAGACUCAUGUGUUUGUUAAAUGUUAGCUUCAAAAUAUUUACCAAAGUAGCCACUAACAGAGUUACAAGCGUAGUUUUUUCUCGAUCAGGUGUAUAAGUAGGCAAAAUGCCCAAGUUACACAAGCGAUCCAUGUGCGUAUGGGGUGAUCCAUGGCGUUGUCAUGGACUCCUAGCAUGCAUACCGCACGCUACGACUCGGGGCUGCCGACAUGGAGGGCUACGCCAGCAGCGCCGCCCACCUCGCCUCACUCCUUAUGCAAGGCGCCCUCUAGCCCCAACGAUGUCGUGUUCGAGCCUAGCUUGGUGCGAUGCUUGGAGGUGGCGGUGGCUCACCCGUGACCCUAUGCAGUGACGGCGACUGCUGCUCACCUGCGUGUCCACGGUGCCAGUGCGCGGAGGCGGUGGCUCGCCAGUGCCCCUAUGAGGCAGCGUCAGUGGGCUCUCACACCUUCCUGUGCACAGCGGCUGUGGUGCAAAUGAGGGAGAAGAUAAUCAUUUUCAAAUUAAUACCUCAUGAAGUUUUGUAAAUAUUUGUGUAGGUUAUGUGUCUAGGUAGUUUUGUUGAUAACCCCGCUAAUCUUUUAUUUUAAGCAAUCAAGUAUUAAGCAAUCAAGUCUUAUCUCUGCACGUGGGCACAUAUAUACCCAUUUGGAUGAAUAUGAGGCUUAGAUACAGUUUAAGGAUCGGAAUGACAUAUUUUUCAGAAACCGGGAUAACACAACCCUAUAAGUUCAAGGACCAACCAUGUACCUUUUUUUAUUAAUAAGAAUUUCAUUCCAAGAAGCCUCCCUUGACUUCUUAAGUAUACAAGUGAACAAAGAACAACGCCUAGUGAAUAGCAUCACAUUACCAAUCCCAGUUCACAGACUCAUAUUACGGCCUUGUUUACUUCCAAAAAAUUUUGCAAAAUAGAAAAUAAUAGUACUUUCGUUUGUAUUUAAUAAAUAUUGUCCAAUUAUGGACUAACUAGGCUCAAAAGAUUUGUCUCGUCAAUUCCGACUAAACUGUGCAAUUAGUUUUUAUUUUUAUCUAUAUUUAAUACUCCAUGCAUACGUCUAAAGAUUCGAUGUGACGGGGAAUCUGAAAAAUUUUGCAAAAUUUUUGAGGAACUAAACAAGGCCUAACCAUUGAGCACACGGUAGCAAAGAACAAGAACAGAACAGCAGCCACCAGUCCGUUGCGUGGUAGGUACGCUAAGCUGAGAUUGUCACUAUAUGCUGAUGAUGCUGUCAUUUUCCUCAAUCCGGUACAAGAAGAAGUCCGUGCACUUCUCAGCAUCUUGGAGCAGUUUGGAAAUGCGAGUGGCCUUAAGCUAAAUCUCGCGAAAUGUAUGGUCGCGCCCAUCAGAUGUCUGGGAAUUGAUGUGGACCACAUUCUUGAGCCAUUUGCAGGUCAAAAAGUAUCCUUCCCAAUAAGGUACUUAGGACUGCCAAUUACAUUAGGCCGCCUCAAAUUGGUGCACCUACAGAAUGUCUUGGACAGAGCAAAAACGAAGAUGGCAAGGUCGUCUCCUUAAUAUAGCUGGACGGCGUGAGCUGGUGCGUUCAGUCCUGAGUGCAAUCCCAAUCUAUCUUCUUUCAGCACUCAAGGUUCCAAAAGAAUUCCUGAAAGAUAUAGAUAAAGCACGUCGCCGAUUUCUGUGGGCUGGUGACAGUGAAUUAACAGGCAGCAAAUGUAAGGUGGCCUGGAGUCUAGCCAUGAAGCCUAUUGAAUUUGGAGGGUUAGGCAUCCUAGACCUGGAGAAAUUCAGCCGGGCACUUCGUCUCCGGUGGUUAUGGUAUGCUUGGGCAGAGCCCCAUAAAGCAUGGCUGGGAACGACACUUCCGAUCGACGAUGUCGACGCUGCCCUUUUUGCGGCAGCAACCACAAUCUCUCUACGGAAUGGACAAAAAGCUUUGUUCUGGCACUCUAGCUGGGCACAUGGUCGACCUCUGCUGCUCCGUUUCCCGCUGCUGUACGGUCAUAGCAGAAGGAAGAACAGAACAGUGCAUGAUGCUAUACAGAAUGGCAAAUGGAUCAAAGACAUCGCCUAAAGUCUGAACAAUGACCUUCUCGCUGAAUUCUUUGGGCUCUGGAAUGUGUUGCAAUCCUUGGAACUUAACCUGGACACCCCUGAGGAAGAUCAAAUUUGUUGGAAGCUCGACCCUUCCGGGAAGUAUACUGCAAAAUCUGCAUAUAACAUCCAAUUCAGCGGCUGCAUACUCUCCAAUUUUCCUAGGCUGAUAUGGAAGGCAUGGGCACCUCCAAAAUGCAAAUUUUUUCUCUGGCUACUAUUACAGGAUCGCCUAUGGACAGCGGCAAGACUGCAGGUGCGCGGCUUGGAAAACAAUUAUUUCUGUGGCUUAUGCGUUCGGAACUUGGAGACUAUCACACACCUAUUCAUCGACUGUCCCUUCUCCCGGACUGUAUGGGACCGAGUAGCUACCUGGAGUAACUGCAACAACCUACAACCGGUUCAGUGGGGCGAAACAAGAGACGUCGAAGAUUGGUUCCAAGUGAUGAUUGAUCGCGGGAGCAAAAAGGGCCACACACUGGCCAUCCUCACCCUAUGGUGCAUCUGGAAUCGGCGAAAUGCUGCUGUCUUCAACAACAAGACUUGCACGGCGGAACAAGUCUUUGGCCAAAUCAGCGAAGAAGUCUUCUUAUGGGCUAAUGCUGGUGGAAAAGCCCUUAGAUCCCUCUUUGUUGGCCACAACUUUGGGAGAAUAUAGCUAAUUGUAUUUUUUUCUCCGGUAGCAGUCUGCUGCUGUGGGCUGCGCCUCUCGCGCCUAUGCUGUAAAACUCUUACCCCCUCUUAUCAAUAUAUGGCCGGGUAACCGGACCUUUAAAAAAAACAAACAGCACAUCAGGCCAAAAAAAAAAAGUUCCUAAAACAAUCACACAGUUACUACUAGCAAACUGUAUUGAAGAUAAGCGGUCUGCGCCAAGACGACGGGGAGCUUGUCGACGUGCUGGUACACGGUGACGAUGAUGGCAACGAUGGCCACGACGGCGGCCCAGAUGACGUUGACGAGCUAGGUCCACGGCGAGCGACGACGUCACGGCGAACGUGAGCAGCAGCACGUGGCCGGACGAGGAGCAGCAGGGCACAGGGAGCGCGCCCACCUGGGUAACCUGUCGAGGCGCAGGUACUUGGUGGCGACGGCGAGCACGGCCAUGACGGCGGCCCAGAUGCUGAGGUCCAUGGCGAGCGACGUGCGCGGCUGCGACGUGACGAACGUGAGCACGAGGCUGGAGUAGGCCACCAGGAACGCGAGCUGCACGAAGCGCGACCGCGCGGGCACCCCCGUGAUGAGCCCCACCGUGAGCAUCAUCGAGGUGCCGAACCCGGCCCAGCUCGCCGCCAUGAACAGCCAGUACCGCCGCCGGUGCUUGUCCCGCAUGAUCGGGUCGCCGGCCACGUGCCCCGCGCCGUCGUCCGCCUGCCAGUACCCGCCGGGGAUGUUGGUGCCCAGCUGGUACGUCAGCGCCGUGAUCAGUGUCGCCACCACCAGCAGCGUGUCCGCUUCAGUCGCGCCGAAGUUCGGUGCGUGUGCGAGCACGCCACCAUCGCCGCCGCCGGCAUUCGGCGGCGGCCCUUCCUCUUGUACUAGGGAGGGCUCACCCUCACCAUUGCCGCCGGCGCCGUUCAUCUAUCCUGCUCUCGCAGCUAGCUCUUCUUGCGUGACCAGAGCGCAAGAUUUCAAUGUAAUAAGCUCUCGACGUUGAGCAUCUCUUGAACCUUGCGUGCAUAUUUAUAUGUAUAGGAGGAGAUGCAUUGCGUCCUGAUUGGAAACCCUUGUUGAUACCCAUGGAAUGGAAGAGGUAGUAUUAGGUCUUGUUUAGAUUUUUGAAAACUUUUUGAAUUUCGCUUUUGUAGCACUUUCGUUUGUUUGUGAUAAAUAUUGUCCAAUCAUAGACUAACUGGAUCAAAAGAUUCAUCUCGCGAUUUGCAGUUAAAUUGUGUAAUUAAUUUUUGUUUUUAUUUAUUUUAAUGUUUUAUGCAUAUGCCGUAAGAUUCGAUACGACGGGGAAUCUUGAAAUUUUUUUUUUUUUGGGUGAAGUAAACAAGGCCUUUAGAGUAGUUGCCUUGAAGGUCGCGGGAAGCACGACUGAACUGCGAGGGGAAUGGUUGACUGACUGACCUGAUGCUCUGCUCCGUCAAGAGCUAAUAACUAGGCAAAGUCCUCGCCAAUGUCGUCGGUUCUUUUGCCUGUUUGUUCAUGUACUACUCUGCUAUCGCCUUCUUGCUCCUUGGUUUCCGUGAAGUAAAGAGAUGCUGUAAUAACAAUUGAAAUUUAAUACUAAAAGAUUGAAAGGGAAUGUUUAAGGUAGAUGAUGUGCAAGUUCUUGUGCAGCGCCUCUACUUUACGCGGCUUUACGCGUUUAUGUUAUAAAAAAAAAACUUUACACGUUUAAGGCAGCCGUCUGGUACCUACCAUUCGGUUGUUUUAUUGAUGAAAUUGUUAGGCUAUAGAAUACAGAAUGAUUUCACAGAAUAAAACUCGACCUUUCUUCAAAAAGGGAAAGAAAAACUUCUAGAGAUUGUAAGCCCACAUCAUAUGAACUAGUUCAACUUGACAUGCAUUCCUUGACUACAACUAUUUUUCUAGCUACAACACGUAGGGCUGUCCUUUGCCUAAGAGAAUAUUUCAGAGGCUUUUAUAUGUAUGUCAUUAUAAAAGUUGAUAAUUAUCUACAAGCCAUUAAAAAAGUUGAGCUCUCAUCUUCGAACUUUUUUGCCCUCUACGCCACUUCCGUCAGAUUUGACUCUAAUGGUGUUAAACUGCAGGUAUAAAAAGUCAAAAAUACCCUCAUGUCUAAAUAUUCAAUUAAUUUUUUUAAGCAUCUAAACAAUUUUAAAUAAAAAAACUCAAAACUAGAAAGUCGUAGAUCUCGUCGAGAUAAUAUAAAAAAUAUUUUUAUUUGAUUUUGUAUAAAAAUAUUUUUUCUAAGACAUAUUAAUCAUAUCAAAUCAUAUAUUUUUUGUAUGAAAUUCAAUAAAAAUAAUUUUUAUACAGAACUUAUGUAUUGUCGAGAAGGGGACCGGUGAUGGGGAGGGGUGCAACGGGUGCAGCUUAUGAUAGGGAAGAAAGAGAAGGGAUAAGGUUGGGUCUCUCUGCAUUUCUAUACCUACCUAAUAAUAAAGAGGUAAAAUUUCAGCCUAUUUUUUAUUGUGGUUAUUUUUUUGAUCUGCUCUAUCCAUAAAGAGAUAAAAUUUACGUCUCCUAUUAGGUAGCACGCUGCCACAUAGUUCGGUCCGGACCACAGACUUCUGCCCUCCACAGAAAGAAAAAUGAAUCAACGAAAUCAGAUGGGGUGCACCCCGUCACUGUCUCUGGGCUCGCCGGCCAGGGAGCCCACGCCGUCGCCUCCCUCCUGUGCGCUCACGGACUAUGUCUUCCAUGCGCGCCCACCAGGUGCAUCUGCGCCGCUGUGCCUAGCUGCAAGGCCUCCGAGCCCCAUGAAUCUGAUAGAGUAGAUGGCGACGAGAUAGGGUUGGAAGCAGAGAAAGAGAGGAGAGGAUGGCGGGCUCCUGGCCAAGCGGCGCAAGGAGACGGGCGGCCGGCCACGAUGCAUCGCGAGGCAAGCAGUCUGUGUUUGACUGUUUGAGGCAUUAGGCAUAGGAGACAGGGACAGGAUAAGGUGUGAAAAACAAUUGGGCCUGCAACGGUCAUGAGCUAUCUUUUUUUAUUUUUUCAUCAUUUCUCAUUUUGAUUUUUGCGCCGGUCAUUCUAAGUUGCCUAUUGGCUGGAUACGUGUUGUCAUUUUCUUUCUGUCAUUCCAGAUUAAGAUGAUCUAGAAAAAUGAUAACAAAACGUAUGAGAUCAAGAGGCACGGCUGCCUAGGUUCUUUAUAAAAGCAAACUCAAUAAUAAAAUUAGACGCUUAGCUUAAUUCAAGUUGUAAGAGUUAAAGCUAUCUAUAAGCCUCGCAUGCCUUAAGCCUCUUUCGAUUGAAACAUAUUUGUCCAUGCAAGCAAUCCUAGCCCUAGACAAACAACUUAGACACAUGGGAUGGGAGCCAUGGCUGGAUUGGCCAGUUUCCCAAGCUUUAAUAAAUAGGUUGUGUGUCCAGGAUCCUUUGUUUUUAAGCAUGUUUCAGUUAAAGCAGUAUGACCCAAAUAUAAUCUUAAGAUCAAUUAAGAAACAUGACAUAACAAUUAAUUUCUGAGCCUCUCAUAUUCAAUAUGUUAAGCCUAUAGAGUUAAAGCAGUAUGACCAAAAUAUAAUGUUAAGAUCAAUCGAGAAACAUGACAUAAUAAUUAAUCUUUGAGCCUCUCACAUUCAAUGCAUUAGAACAAGGUGUACCAAGGCAUGAUAUAAAGUCAGGAUGUAAGAUGCUGGAAUACAUAACAUGACUAUUGAAUUGUUGAACUACAAAUCAUCCACUUAGAGAUUCUGAACCCCGUUGCAACGCACGGGAAUUUUUGCUAGUUGUGAACAAAUUGACAUACAUUUGUCUAAGAUCUGCGAUCCAUAAAACAAAAGUUAUGUUAUCCACAAAUUACAUCAGACUGACUAAUAAAGUCAUUGUAGAUGUAGUAAUAAGACUUUUUAAAAAUAGUAAAAAACUGUGUAAAUAUAUUAUUUCUAAAUGUCACCUAGACCUAAACAUUGAUUAAAAGCAUUCCACUUAAGCACACAAUAAUCGUCGAAUUUAUUAAGCACAUCACACUUUAUGAUUGAACAAAAUAAUCGUCGAAAAAUUGACAGAAGAAAAUACAUAGCCUACCCGAGAUAGUAAGAGUUGGAAACAAAACAGUAGGAGAACAUCGUGCACGUGAGCAUGCUUAAUGCAGAGGUCCAGGUCCGUGCUCGCCACGACGGAGAGAUCGCUAGAGCUCGUUACGCUGGAUAGUGCUGUGUCUGUGUAGAACCUCAGCGGCUAUUGCCUGCAGCAGGUCCCACACCUCCAUGACGUGCUGCAGCUCCGUCGAGGCGCCGCCCACAGCUAGCCGGAUCACGAACUUGCCGUCCACCACGAAGUGCGUCAUGAAAGCCCGCCCGCUCGCGUUCACCGCCGCGAGGAGGUCCCGGUUCACGUGGUUCGUGUCGUCGUCGUCGUCGUCCCGGCCGGACCGUGGUGCGAGGCGGAAGCAUACCAGGGAGAACCUCCUCGGGGCCACCACCUCGAAGCGCUCGUCGGCCGCCACCCUCUGCUCGAACCACUUGGCUGCUGCGACGUGCCGACGGAUGUGCGCACGCAUGCCAGCCGCACCGUACCGCCGCAGUAUGACCCAGAGCUUAAUGGCACGGAACCGGCGCGUCAUGGAGAUCUGCCAGUCCUUGUAGUCUACGGCGGCCGGCGUUCCUGCGCCGCCGUCUUCCGCGCCGACGUUCUUGAGGUACUCCGGAUCGGUGGACAGCGCCGAGAUCAGGUCACGGGGUCUUGCCACCCACAGGCAGCAGCAGUCCAUGUUGGUAAGGAACCACUUGUGCGGGUUCAUGCUCACCGAGUCGGCGAGCUCCGCGCCGUCGAGGUAGUCCUGGAACUCCGGGCAGAUGGCCGCGCUGCCGGCGUACGCUGCGUCAAGGUGCACCCACAUGCCGUGGCGGCGCGCCUCCUCCCCGAUCUCGCGAACGGGGUCGACGGCGCCGAGCCCCGUCGUGCCCACCGUGGCGCAGAGGUAGAGCGGCACCAGCCCGAGGCCGACGUCGCGGUCGACGGCGGCGCGGACGGCUUCCGCGGUGAGACCGUACCCUGAAGCCGCCGACGUCUUGAUGACCCGGAAGUUCGACGGUGGGAUCCCGACGAGCCGGGCGCCCUUCUGGAACGUGGCGUGCGUCUGGUCGGAGGCGUAGACCACCAGCCUGGCGAUGGCCUCGUGCCCGAGCCUACCCAGCGCGCCGUCCCGCGCGGCGGCGAGCGUGCACACCACGGCCUCGCACGUGCUCCCCUGCAGGACGCCCCCGCCGCCGCCGGAGAAGAGGAACCGGCGCGGCAGGCCGAACAGCCGCGCCAUCCAGUCGACGACGACGCUCUCGAGCUCCGCGGCGGCCGGCGACGCGGCCCACACGAAGGGCACGACGUUGAGGCCGACCGACAGCAUCUCCCCCGCGAGCCCAGCGGAGCUGGCGUUCAUCGGGAAGAAGGCGAAGAACCGGGGGCUCUGCCAGUGGGUGAGCCCCGGCAGGAUGUCCCGCCUCACGUCCUCCAGUAUGUGCUCCAUCGGCUCGCCGUGCUCUGGCGCGGCCUCGGGGAGCAGCUUGCGGACGCGGCCUGGCUCCAUGUCGGCCGCCCGCACCGGGAACUUGUCCACGUCGCGGUAGUACUCGGCGAGGAAGUCUAGAAUCGCCUGCGAGUCGCCGGCGAUGGCGUGAGGGUCCAGUGGCUUCAUUGGCAAGUCCAGUGGCAAGCUGCCCAUCGCCGCGACGACAAGUUAAUCUAGCAGAGGCUUGUGGUUCCGGGAGAAGAUGUAUUCUAGGCGUGUUUGUGUCGGCUUCAGUUGUGCAUGCAGUGGCCUAUAUAUAUAGUGCGAGUGCGAACACGCAGGGCUGUGCACGCUGAAACAAACUUGCAUGAUUUGGCAAGCAUGUAUCUCUGCCGCGGCACGAUCGGGGAGAAGAUCGGACAGGGACACGAGGGGAUGGACCCCUUGGAUAUGUAGAUCUGGAACUGGAACCAUUAACGAGCUCCAUCAGUUUUGUCAGAAAUACACACUCAUCAUCAGUGAUCAGGUCUCAUGGCGUGCGCAAGCGCAACGGUGCACACCGCACCUCAGGCCCCAACCCCCAAGUGAUGUCCGAUUCCAACGUGUUCCCCAUGUAGUACUAGUUGUUUUGAGCUGUCGUCACAAGUGUCAUCUGUAACUGUAAAUGGCUAUUGGAAGACGAACCACGAGAUAGGAGGUCUGGAAAUUGUUUAUUGGCAUUGCUGUCCACCACUCAACUACCCAGUCAUAACGAAAGGAGAUCUGAAUUAAAAGCUAGUAUAUGAUAAAUAACUUUUCUACUUCACCGGCACCGGCAUAUGGUUGUUAUGCUCGGUAACGAAACAUAUCUUAAGUCAAAUUUUUAAAUUUUGACCAAAUUUCUAAAAAAUACUAAGAUUUAUAGUAUCAAAUUAGUAUCAUUAGAUUCAUUAUAAAAUAUAUUUUCAUAUAAUGCUCAUUUUAUAUCAUAGAUAUUGCUAUUUUUUUCUAUAAAGUUAGUCAAACUUAAAAAAGUUUGACGGACAUAGUUUCUACGAAUUGAUUCUUUCGUGGACGAGGGAGUAUUAUGAUAGUAUUUUGGUAUUAUGAUAGUAUUUUUUUCGACAAGAUGGCAAAAGUUUUAUAUUCAUUUUUUUAUAAGACGGCAAAAAGUUUUUGUCGUAAAUUUUAUUAGACGAUAGAAAAAAAUAGAACUGUACAAACAAAGUAAAAACAAAAACCUUUUACAACGUGAACACAUGACUUCAAACCUCGACUCUACUUUGCGUAAUUAGAACAAGCUCAAUGUAUACAGCAAAAUCAAACCAGUCCAUAAAAAGAGGCCAAGAAUCAGCAGUCCUUUAAUAGGCCAGUCUCAAUGCAUAGUUUCAUAACACAGUUAUCAAGACUAUAAACUAGGUAACCGAGCCACAUGAGUUUUAUGGGGAUGAAAUUCCUCUCUUAUCUGAUGAAACUCCUUCAUUUAAUGACCCUGCCAAGUCAGCAAUUUUGCUUAUGUGGCACCCUAUUUUAAUGUGCAUGACACUCUCAUGAAACAUGUAUUGAGACUAGCCUAUUGUCUCUUCCACAAUGUAUAGCCGGUAAGGUAGGGCCCAUUUAAAAGUUAAAAAAUCCCUAUCCUCCGUUGCAUCUUCUUCCUCGUUCCUCGCCUGCAUCUUCUUGCUCGGCGGGUGGCGCUAAGGUUGAAAACGGACGGAAACGAACGGAAAAUCGCUCUAUCGUUUUCAUUUUCAUAUUCUUAGACGAAAACGGAAGCGGAAGCCAGACAACCGGGAGCGAAAACGGUAGCGGGAUAAACGGUAAUACGAAAACGGGUAAAUACGAUCGGAAAAUAGACGGAAACGAGCGGUAAGCGAAAAAUUGAACCGGAACAUGUAAAGCUGCAUAUGAUAGCGCAAAUACAGAGACCAAAAUGCAAUACGAAAUAUCAAAUAUGCACUGACCAGUGACUAGUGACCACAAUAAUACAAUACCACAUAUCCAUAUUCCAUAGAUCACAAUUAACAUAAAUAUGAAUUAUUCAUACAUCGCAUAAGAACAUAUCCAUAGUCCAUAGAUCACAAUUCACACAAAUAUGAAUUAUCCAUACAUCACAUAAGACAAGAAACAUUUUAGGUCAUAUUGGGCUUGGGGACUAUGUUGGGCUACUUUCCCGUUUUUAUGAAAAAUGGGAUAGAAAACGGGAUAUCCCGGUAAAAAACGGGAUUCCGCAAAUACGGACGGACAAACGCUCUACCGUUUUCGAUCCUGCUCCCGUUUUAAUCCGUCCCAUUUUUGAUCCCGUUUCCAUUUAUCCCGUAAAAAACGAAAACGAACGAGAAAAUACGGUAUACGGUUGCGGACAAAACGGAAUCUAUCCCGUCGGGCGGCACGGAUGGCCAGACACGCAGUCUCGCGGGCGGCGCGAAUGGCCGAGGCGGACAUGCCAAGCUAAUGGACUGCACAGACGACCAGCCGGUGAGCUACAAGGCGCACGGAGCUAUCGGUGCCGCGAGCGCACGAUGACCUCCCCAUGGCGCAAGGCGUCAGAUGCCGGUCCUCUUCAUCUCGCGGGAUGGGCUAAUGGCCGGCGCGGUGACCUCGCGGGCAGUGCGGUAACAAAGGAAGCACAUGGAGGUGGGUGCUGGUCGGGCUGGUCAGCAAAAGGAGAGAAAACAAAGUCUGUCUAUCUAGCAACCAUGUGUUUCAUACACUUUGAACACAUGAAUUUUUUUUUACCAUAGGGUGAAGAUCCAACAGUCUUCACCUUUCUUCUACCUCCAGCCUCUAGCCUUCUUCUACCUCCGGACAAUCACAAAUCACAGAUUAAAGAUCACAUAUCACACAUCACAUAAAACAAAUUUUUUCUAUGAAAGGACAAAUCACAAAUCACCGAGGAGGAGGAGGAGGAGAGGCCUACUGUGGCCGGAUCUGCCGCCGCCGCCGGCGAAACUGUCGCCACCGCUGCUGCCAUGGCUGGUGCCGGCGGGCGCGGGCACUAGAGGCGUGUCGGGCAUGGACGCUGGGAGACGCGUCGAGCAUGGACGUUGGGAGGCGUGUGCCCGCCGUUGGCGCCGUAGGGAGGCGCGCCGUCGCCGGACGUGGGCGCUGGGUGCUCGCCGACAACGGAGGAGGAAGGAGUGCAGCCGCAUCGGGAGGGAGGCGACAGUCGAGAAGGAGGGAGGAAAGAGGCGCAUGAGGGAGGGAGGGAGAGAAAUUGGACGUGGCCCUAAAGUCAUAGACACAGAAAAAACCAUUAAAAACACAUGGGUGUUGUAUAACAUUACUGUUUUUUAUUACUAUAUAGCCGUCAGUCUAUAAGAGCAAGCGCAAUGUGUUCAGCCGAACCGGUCUAUAAAGAUGGGGCCCACAGCAGGUGGCAGUAACUAAAGUUCUGUAUAAAAAUUAUUUUUAUUGAAUUUUUAUGUAACAUUAGAAUGGGAAAGCUAGUAACAUAAUACAAAAAUAAAUGACCACUGUCAAAACUAAAUAUAUUUAGAGUUGUAAAAUACAAGUAAUAUAUACCAAAUCAAUGCGUAAAAAAUAAGGAGGAAACUGAGAUUACUUUGCUAGCAAAGAUCUAAAGAUCAAAUCCAAGUUUUUAAGGCUAAAUUUAUGGAUUAGUAGAGAUUGGGCGGGUAGAGGAGAGCAAGAACCCGAAAAAGAGGUAUAACAAGAAGACCAUGGUCGAGCAGGGAAGCUGAGGGGUGAUUCUUAAAUCAGAGCUCGGAGCCACAGAUCUUGGCUACGAGCUCGGCGCCAAGAUAUGUGACUCCGAGCUCGGAGCCAAGAUCUGUGGCUCCGAGGUAGUGCCAUGUCAUCGCCACAUAUGCUGCCACUUUGUACGCGAGUAACCACCUUGGAACCAAGAUCUGUGGCGCCGAGAUGUGUAACCUCGGAACCACGAGUCCUGGCGCCGACUCACUGGGUCCAAACAUGAGUUUAAGUUUUAGAGGGGGUUAAAUGUGAAUUUUUUUCAAAAAAGGCUAAAAAGUAAAAAAAAAAAUUGGGUUGCCAUGUUGCAUCCCUAGAACUGAACCUUGCCCCCUCCUUUUAUAGUUGCAAGGAGAGGCAGAGUUUACAUAUAUGUGCAAUGUACCGUUUCUGUUGGAUCUGAGGCCAUGCGGAGGUAUGCCGCAGUACUGUAAAGGGAUGGCAUCCAUCCUUUGGCUGUUGUAGGCAUUCAUGGUAGUAGUAGUGCGAGGCGUGCCCUCCUGUGUAGACGUCGUGACGAGCCAUGCUUAUCCUAUAAGUGAGAUGCCUAGCCCUGUGGUUGGCGUGCCAACCCCCUGUUCUGAGACCCUCUGGAUUGGGAGUCGUGCCCUAAACUCUCACGAGCUCGUGGGUAUAGGGGCUUGGAUUGAUGCUUGUAUGUCUGCAUAGGUCUCUGCCAUACGCAUAGUGAGCACCAUGCCUUGCCCUGUGUAGUUGUAGUCGUGGUGGAGAUUUGACCCCCCCCCCCCUCCCCAUGUCUUGUCCGGCUGUACCACAGUCUCGUUGUGGGAUCGUAGCUGACGUCAUAAGAGGCCUCGAGCGCACCAAUGGAAAGAAAGCGUCCGAGCCCUGGGGUCGGGCGAGUCAGAGAUUUUUGGCUCUUACCUCGCUCGAGGCCCCGUUGUCAGGUCUCUGACAAGACGGACAAUAGAUUAGUCUCGCUUGCGCCCGAGGCCUCGUCAUUGAGUCUAGGGCGGGACAGAGAAUGGAUGUUUAGUUAGCUUGGCCUCUUAUCGAGACAAGUAGAGGGGGGCUUUAGUCCUCUUCUUUGGAUACCUCAGAUUGUAGUAUCCAACAAAUUAUUUGACCCUAUAAGCAAACGACCUUUAUCUUUAGUUAACUCUAACACUAAUGGACUAUCUAGCCAGCCUAGACCUUGGACUAUUAGAUGAAGUUGUUUUACCAAACGGUCCUAGCUACCUGAGCAAAUCUGUCCUAGAGAAUAGAAGUUGUUUUGGUUAGAGCCAGAGCUCUACCAAACGGACCUAGGCGUGCUUCCCAAAUCAUGAACGUUUGUUCCAGCGCGUAUAGCCUGCGUGUUCGCACUAUAUAUAAGCCACUGCAUGCACAGUUCAAGCCGACACAAACACGCCGAAUACAUCAAUUUCUCCAGGAACCUGAAGCUUCUGCCAGAUUAACUUAUCGGCGCUGCGAUGGGCAGCUUGUCACUGGACAUGCCAAUGAAGCCACUGGACCCCCACGCCAUCGCCGGCGACUCGCAGGCGAUUCAAGACUUCUUGGCCGAGUACUACCGCAACGUCGACAAGUACCCGGUCAGGGCGGCGGACCUGGAGCCAGGCCGGGUGCGCAAGCUGCUCCCCGACGCCGCGCCAGAGCACGGCGAGCCGAUGGACCACAUACUGGAAGACGUGAGGCGCGAAAUCCUGCCGGGGCUCACCCACUGGCAGAGUCCUCGCUUCUUCGCUUUCUUCCCGGCUAACGCCAGCUCCGCUGGGCUCGCGGCGGAGAUGCUGUCGGUCGGCCUCAACGUCGUGCCCUUCGUGUGGGCCGCGUCGCCGGCUGCCGCGGAGCUCGAGAGCGUCGUCGUCGACUGGAUGGCGCGGCUGUUCGGCCUGCCGCGCCGGUUCCUCUUCUUCGGCGGCGGCGGUGGCGUCCUGCAGGGGAGCACGUGCGAGGCCGUGGUGUGCACGCUAGCCGCCGCGCGGGACCGCGCGCUGGGUAGGCUCGGGCACGAGGCCAUCGCCAGGCUGGUGGUCUACGCCUCCGACCAGACGCACGCCACGUUCCAGAAGGGCGCCCGGCUCGUCGGGAUCAAGCCGUCGAACUUCCGCGUCAUCAGGACGUCGGCGGCAUCCGGGUACGGUCUCACCGCGGAAGCCGUCCGCGCCGCCGUCGACCGCGACGUCGGCCUCGGGCUGGUGCCGCUCUACCUCUGCGCCACGGUGGGCACGACGGGGCUCGGCGCCGUCGACCCCGUUCGCGAGAUCGGGGAGGAGGCGCGCCGCCACGGCAUGUGGGUGCACCUCGACGCAGCGUACGCCGGCAGCGCGGCCAUCUGCCGGGAGUUCCAGGACUACCUCGACGGCGCGGAGCUCGCCGACUCGGUGAGUAUGAACCCACACAAGUGGUUCCUUACCAACAUGGACUGCUGCUGCCUGUGGGUGGCAAGACCCCGUGACCUGAUCUCGGCGCUGUCCACCGACCCGGAGUACCUCAAGAACGUCGGCGCAGACGACGACGUCGCGGGAAAGCCGGCCGCCAUAGACUAUAAGGACUGGCAGAUCUCCAUGUCGCGCCGGUUCCGUGCCAUCAAGCUCUGGGUCAUACUGCGGCGGUAUGGUGCGGCUGGCAUGCGUGCGCACAUCCGUCGGCACGUCGCAGCAGCCAAGUGGUUCGAGCAGAGGGUGGCGGCCGACGAGCGCUUCGAGGUGGUGGUCCCGAGGACGUUCUCCCUGGUUUGCUUCCGCCUCGCACCACGGGUCGGCCGGGACGACGACGACGCCACGAACCACGUGAACCGGGACCUCCUCGCGGCGGUGAACGCGAGCGGACGGGCGUUCAUGACGCACUUCGUGGUAGACGGCAAGUUCGUGAUCCGGCUAGCUGUCGGCGGCGCCUCGACGGAGCUGCAGCACGUCAUGGAGGUGUGGGACCUGCUGCAGGGCAAGGCCGUUGAGGUUCUACAGCACUAUCAAACCUAAGCUCUAUAGCUCUCUCCAUAUCGUAGCGAGCAGGGAGCUUUGCAUAAGCAUGCUCACGAGCAAGAUUUGCUCGUACUGUUUGUUUCCGGCUCGUACUAUCUCUGGUAGCUAUGUGUUCUCUUCUGUCAAAGUUUCGACGGUUAUUUUGUUCAAUCGAAGCGUGGUGCGCUUAAUAAAUUUUGAAGAUUAUUGUGUGCCGAAGUGGAAUGCUUUUAAGCAAUGUUUAUACUAUAAGUGAAAAAUAUGAAAUUACUCAAGUUCGGACCUUGACUAAUGGUCGGCAUUCUUAUUCUCUAUUACCAAGCAAUAUCACUUUUCAGUCUUAAUUACUGAAGAUUGUUGAGAAUGUCAAAUUCAUGUGGUAGCAAAGAAAAACUGGAGUAUGUAUCUUGAGCUUUUUCUCUUGUGUUUUAGAAAGUGGGGAGUAGAGGCCCCUACGGCCCUAAUUAAAUGUCUAAAUUUCAUUAAAUGUAGACAAAACUAUACAAGCUGAAACCUAUAGAGGAAGAGAGGAGCAAGCAGUAGAAAAGAGAAGUUCCCGAGGAGAAAAGGAGCAAAAAAAAAAAAGAAAUAAUAAGAAAAAGAAAUUUGACAUAAAUUAUUACAAACUGCUAACAGAUAAGCUGCUCCAUAAUAGAAGUCAGAGUCGAAACCCUUUUACAAGUAACCGAAGCCCUGCCAAACUUGUCCUAACUAUCAAAUAAGAUAGAGCCAUUGUUACUACUACGACUCCUGUCUAGGCCUGAAUGUUGCAACGGCAACUAUAUAUACGCACUAUGAUAUGGUAAUCUUGCACUCUAUGGUAUGGUAUACAAAUCUGAAUAUAUUUUGGUGGUCGUAGACGGGCUUGGACAAGGGUGAGCUUGACCCUCUUGGUGAACCAUCAAGCAAGCGAGAUCUCGAGGCUUUGCCACGGUAGCUUUGCCAUGCUCACCACACUGGCUCUUAUGUUCUUCGUCAAGGCCAAAUCAUAUUCGACGACCGUCAGUUCUGCGCCCAGCCGCCAACGAUGACUUUUACCAUGUCCACCACACCACAACCGCAAACAGGAAACCAGACCGGCCAACCAAUCCAAACUUUCUGCAAACAGGUGACCGACCAAUGCAAUCCAAACCUGCUAAUACCUUCUGGUACCAUGAUUUUCUGCCGUAGCAACGCUCACGGACUGCUACUUUUCCCAGAAAUCAUAGUGGGAUUUAAUAGUUCAAUGUUUCCCGCUUUGAUAAUUACAAAUACAUCAGAUUAUAAUAACACCAUUUUAUCCUCUCAUGAACCAACCUUUACCUUUAGUAAGCAGAAAACUAUGAGACCACAUAAUAAGCAAGCAGAAAACAACGAUGGACAUGGUCACAUGGCAGAUACCACCGAACAUCAUGUAGGCCGAGAGGAAAAGGGAAAACGAAGUUCACAUAUAGAAAAGCGUUUCUGAUGGAAUCGAGAAACUUCAUACCACAGAUAAUCCAACCUUGUUCUACAGCACGCACUCACACAUUACAAUAUAUAAACAAAGCGGGCAUAUGAGACAAGAGGCACUACACUGGCAGGAAAGAGUAAUACUUUUAUGUAAACCACCCAUGCAUUCCAGAUACAUCAUCACCACAUACACACACCACCAUACCACAGGCAGAUCGCCAAUCACCACAUGGAUACCUCCAGGCGGAUACCAGGAUUCAUUCCUGGCUGCACAGCAAAAAUAACUUAUGAAGGAAUUUGUCACAAUAAGCUCGAUCAGAUUUUGGAACCUCAGCUGCCUUCCAAGCUUUUAGGCUGCAAGUACUAUUAUCACUAUGAGAAGGACCACUCCGAAAAUAACCAGCAACAAGCAUAUCUGCAGCAAGAAAAUUGGUAACUAAAUCUGAACAGCAAUGAUGGAGGAUGGUGUUCCUAAAUAUGGAUCUAGGAUAUUAACAAACUGUAGAAGGGCUCGAGAAAUUACCAGCGAAGAGUUCGACUUCUGAGUUUUAGCAGCUUUUGAAAGCUGUCCUUUAGCCUGUGAAGUCGCCACAACAGCAUUCUCUAUAUGGGAGUCAAUGUCAUCUGGUUCACAAAAGGAGAUACACAAUUAGAUGGGGAAGCAGGCAGGCCUAUGCUUGAACAUACCGAAAUGUAGAUCCAAUUUGCCAGAAAGGUCACAUACCUAUCAUUGCUCCUUGAUCAUGGACUAGCACAGCAAGAUCUUUGAAGAUUUCGUUUACUUCAGUGAUUUGGUGCUGAAUCUCUUGUAUUCCCUGAUCCCUCUCCUCAAUGAUGGCCUCAUUGAACACGAUUUCAUUAUCCAAGAAGACCAACUCCUGCCUAUGGCAAAUCAAAAGUUUGAAAUUAGCACCUUGAGAUAUUCAGAAAAUUGACCUGUAUAAAGAGGAAAAAGGUCUCAAUCUUGACAUGCAAACAAAGGGUGAUCAGUGAUGUGACUGUUGUCUAAGCAAUUUUAUAAUUUCAAGGAGGUAUAUGGGUCUCCAAAUUAAAACCUGAAUGCAGAGCUAACAAAUCUAUAUAGAACAAGUAGUUCCACAAAAACACAACAGACAAUCAACUUACCUUCUAGAUUCUAGAAGCUGCGUGCGUUGCUCUGCCAACUUAUCAGCACCAUUAUUCACUUCACUUGAGUUGUAGCUGCAAUGUGAACUCCAAGGUUAGGCACUUAAGCAUAUGGUGGCAAUAGACUGAACAAUUUUUGUAACAUACUGUUAACAGAAUUAAAACGAGGGAAGUGAGAAGAAAAGAAGCAAUUAUCAAAAAUCAUCAAAUUAUUAAUGAAUUACAGAAGGGAAACAAUUAUAAAAUGAGGUAUAAUAGCAUGAAGGCAAAAAAUGUCUGAAGAUCAUGCUUUAUUGUUUCUAUUGAAGAGCAAAUGUUUAUAAAAUGAGGCAUGAAGGCAAAAAAAUGUCUGAAGAUUAUACUUUAUUGUUUCUAUUGAAGAGCAAAUGUCACUUAAAUAGACUAUGCUAGAGGAAAUAUGUUAUCAUGUGAAAUCAAGACUAUCACACUUCCCCUCUCUUCUUGCAACAAAAGUGUUCAAAAUAGGACACAAAUCCGAUGACUGAGCCAGGGGCUAGCAAGCCGCAGCAGCAGUCAUGAACUAAAUGCUAGUGCUUGGUUCAAUGUGAACUUUUUUCUGGCAAAAAUGUGGUAGUGAACCAAAUUACUUUAGUAAGAGGCCAAAUAAUACGCAAAUGUACAAUGAUUUAUGAGAUUCAUCUCAGAACAUAACAAAUUUCUGAUAUUUAGUAUCAUGGCGGGGUUAGAUUAGCUUUCAACAGUUGAUAACUUUGUGCUGCCAAAUUAUAAUGCAGUAGAAAUAUAAUGUCGUAGCGUGUAGGUAUGCAAGGAUUGAUGAAACCAAACAAUCAUAAAAUGUAAUAACAUUUCUGGAUACUGAUGGUUGGAAAAGAACAGAUGGUCCUGAAAGGGUGUCAGGUUUGGUUUAUUACAAGUUUUUAUUACACAGUGUGCAGCAAACUCAAUUCCCGAGAUGUAUCUUUGUGACAUUGAUGACCAUCUUAUUGCACUUGGCAACUGGCUGGCAAAAUCUUUUGAGUUUAUUCAUUGCACUUGUAUUAAUAUUCUCAGAGAUUGUACCAUUAGAGGAUUGUUAUGGUCGGGAACGUCUACCAGCGCCGCAACAAGCGGAGCCAUGGCUUAUGGUAGGUGCGGAAAAACAUAGCACGCCAAGUCGUCCAGAUCGUUUGAACUUCAAAUAAUUUAGUUGAUUAACUUGGUUUGUUCUUUUCUUUUUGUUGGAUUAGUUAGAUAAGUUCUUAGGAUUUAGCUAUAAAGCCAAGAACAUUAAUCAUCCAGAUUAAGCAGGAGAUUGAGUUAUUUCUCCGCUUCUUGCUUCCUCGCUCUUGCUCUUCUUCUCUGCUGCGCACAGCGUGGCUCCUCAACGCCAGGGAUUCAAGCCCUUGUCGCCAGUCACCCACUGCUACAGCUAUGCAACGACACAUGUCCUAUCAAGGACUACCAAGAAGGCAGGAGAUGAAUAGCACCAACAAAAAUGUAUACGAAUUCAUUUUGUUUGGAAGAAGAAAAACCCUUGUAGGAUGCAGCAAAAAUACAUAUUGAAGAAAAAAAUAUCUGCCAGCAAAUUACCUCUGUGGCAGGCCCGCUUGAGAAAUAAAAGGUGCAUAUGCAGCUUCUCUCUCUACUGCUAAUCGUUGAGCUUUCUGGAAUUCUUUUAGGACUGCUUGGAAAUCUUUAGCUAGCUUUGCAUCAGCAAUCUUCUUGGUCGCCUGCAAGUCAAUAUGAGAUCAUGACCACAAUUGUAUUAAAAAAAACAACACCACCAACAACAACUGUCAUCCACAAGGAAAAACAAAAUUCCCAGAUAAUAGAGGAAUAGGCAUGGGCACAAAAAUUAUACAGCAGCUGAUACAAGAUUUGUCUUAAAUGCAUGAUGAUAUCUUGCUACAGUUUCCUUUGUCACAGGGAAUGCAACCUUGCCAGAAGAGAAGCAUCGUUGUAAUAAUGAAAGAAAGUUUCUAUAGUUACAUACUUGGCAUCAAAAGUUCCUACUACUUUAUGCAAAACGAAAAUUUGUACAAAACAAAACACAGCACAUUAGGUUUGAUCCUCCCAAUCAGAAUGCAUGAGUUAUCUCUGUUCAAUAACUGCCUUCUUCUGUAAUUGGAACAGAGAGGAUAAAUAUUUGUGUUGCAGGUUCCAGUUCAAAGCACAGCCGCAAAUGUUUUGCAAAAUAAGAUAACAUACUUGCAAAAUUAAUCCCGAACCAGAACCAACACCAAUGCUACAUUAUGAAACAACAAAAGCAAAGGGUGUGGUUCCAAAUUUCAUCACAUCUUGGUGUAGUGGGUGCAAAAAGGAAUGAGGUAAUGCUUUGUACCAUCAAAGAGAACAAGAAAUUUAUACUUAAAAUGAACAAAAUGGCGCAUGGAAAUUUAGUUAAGAAUACCCAUAUAGUUAUAUCGAGAAAUUGAGAUAGGUACAUACGCUGACUUCAACGCGAUGAUCCGCCUCACUAGCUUGUUUAAGCUUGUCUGAUGUAUCCUUCACUAGUUGUGUAAUGUGUUGCCGUGUUUUAUGUCUGCGAUCAAAAGCAAGUGAUAGUUAGUACUUAGUAGUAGACACAUCAAGAUGAUUGGAACUUGCUAGCCUAUAGUAUGGCAUCAUUAGAGUUACUAUUAAUUCAUUCAAUUUCAAAAUAUAACACAAAAUGAGCUAGGACCACAUAAGAACUGAUUCAGAUGACCAAAUGAAUCCAUGUAUGUCGUAUGUCUUGAUUCGCUCAAUUCAAUGACCAAUGACUAUCAGCUAAAGUAAGCAUCAUCAGUCAGGAGCAAAAACGUAUGGAAUUAGCUAAUUGAGUUAAGGACGCAAUCUUCUCUAAAAAAAAUGAGGGAAAAUUAAGCCCCAAGCAACCAUUGGCAACCCUAAUCGAUGUAUCAACCACUUGCGACAGGAAUGGAUGCAUCCACAACAGGGAACGAAACCUAGGCCGUAAUUUUACAGGCGGAUGAAAACCAGAGCGGACCGCGCCCGCGAAAUCGAAACAGAUGGGGGUUAAGGAAAGGCAAUCGAAACAGAUUGUGGGUAAGGUAAGGUAAGGUAAGGUAAGGCGAGGGAGGUAGGCGGACGCACAUCCUGUCGCGGAGGUCGGGGGUGUCCUUGGGCGUGCCGAGCGUGUUGACGAGGCGCUGGAACGUGGCGACCGCGGUGUUGAUCUGGAAGACGCCCGACGCCACGGCCUGCGACGCGCCGGCGCCCCCCGCGGGGCCCCGGCCGUUCCUCCGGCCGCCGCCGAGCGGCGCCCCCCGGACGUGGCCCGCCUCCAGGUCCUGGAAGCUCAUCCUCUUCUCUCCUUCCCCCUGCCUCUCUCCUCUCUCUCUCUCUCUGCCUGGGUAGCUACCGGCCCGGUCGAAUCGCCGCCCCCGCCGCCGCUCGAAUCGAAUCGAAUCGAGGCUCCGGCUCCGAGCAGGAAGGAGAUGGGAUCCGAAUCGGGAGGUCUCUCGCUCGCUCGGCCGGCCGCGAGAGGGGCGAAUUUGGAAUCGGGGGACCGCGUCGUCGCCCUUCGGCUUUCCUCUCUCCCUCUUGUCUUGUGUUUUGUUUCGUUUCGUUUCGUGUGUGGCGUCGGAUUGAAUGGGGAUUCCGGAAUUCACUCGCGGCGGCAGCAAAGCUUUUGUCGCGGGUUCGCGGCGUAAUUAUGCUGUUGGCUUCGGGUCGGGGCCAACAGGCCAAGCCAUUGCCUUGCCCGCCCGGUCGGGCUCCGCUGGAUCGCCUCUAUGCGGUGGUGCGCCUUGGCUGCUGCUGAGGCCUUGUUUAGUUCACUUUAACAAUUAUUUUUUAAGAAAAAUUCUCAAACAUCAAAUCUUACAACAUACAGAGUAUAUAAUAUAUAGAGCAUUAAAUAUAUACGAAAAUAAAAAUUAAUUACAUAGUUUAACUUAAAUCGUAAAAUAUUUUUUUUAAAUCUGAUUAGAUAAUAUUUACUAAAUAAAAACACUAUAGUACUCAAACUCAAAAAAAAAAACGAAACUAACAAGGCCUGACUCUGGCCUCUCGCUGGAAUUGGCCCUCGUGGGUCACGCGCGCCGGCGGCUGUCGCAAGAGACAUGGUCGCGUCUGAAUUGACAGCCAGUUUAAUUUGGCUACGGUGUCAGGAAUCUACAACUCAGAAACGGAUCCGUUCAGGGCGAAACCUGCUACUCCUGCUCCGUGGUCCGUAGUAUAUAUUUUUUUUAUAUAUUUAUAUAAAAGGAGUAGUUUGGAUGAGGCUUGCGACUGCUACCAAGGCGGGCGGCUUGGAAACGAGCAACUUGGCAUGAGGAAUUGAGGAUUAACGCGCCAGCGGGAAGAUUGACACUUGACAGAGUAAUUAACAAUCCAACGCCCACCACCGGUGAAGAGAGGGAAGGAAGGAAGGUUGGGCAAACGGCAGCGUCGCCGUAGGGGCGAAGGAAAAACGGAGGGGGCAGCGAGGUGAGAUUGACAAGGACGGGCAACCUCACCAAGAACCAUUCUCCUAAUGAUCAGCUCUCCGAUCCGCUGUGACGUGAGCCUUUUCAUGCCAAAAGACAUAACUAAAAUGAUUGUUCGUCAAUUUGUUAUAAAAGAAAUAUACUGCUGAAUGACUGGCGAAUUCGGCUGAGAAGCCCAAAUAAAUAAGACCAAUAGCUAAUUAUUAGCUGGACCUCUAGACAAUAAUUAUCUCACUAGUUGAACCAAAUCAGAAAAUAUUAACUAAUAGUUAUCUUAGUAGCAUUUUUCAUUAGUUAUGCACCCUAGCUAAUAUUAGAUAUGAGCUAUUAGCCAGCUAACUAUUACUAGCAUAUUAUGAAUCCAAAACUUUUUCUGAGAGUCAAAAUAUUUUAAGUUUGAUCAAAAUUAUAGAGAGAAUUACAAAUAUUUAUGAUAUUAAAUAGAUAUACUAUGAAUUGUAUAACUAUUAAAUAUUAUGACAUUAUAAAUAUUUAUGACAUUAAAUAGCAUAUUAUGAAUUAUAUAUAUAUAUAUAUAACUAUAUAUUUUUAACAUAGCUCGAUUGAAUUGUACAAUUUAAAAUCCAACAAAUAAACUCACUUUGCGGUGGGAAGUUCAUCGAUCAUCAAAGUACAGCGGACUUAGACUUUGUUUUAGAUCUUCUAAUCUAAUAAAAAAUAAAAUUGAGAUGGAAACUCAUGCACGUAGACCUUUAGAUAUAUGUACGUAUGAUUGUAUAUACUGUAUAGUAAGGAAGUAGUAACUGUGUAGGCAAAGAUGAUGCUACUGCUACGAAUCGAAUUAUGGAAGACUAGCUUCACACGGUGCCCACCCUCCUCUGUCCUCUUUUGUGUCACCUUCGGACCUUCCCAACCUGUACUCUCUGCCGUGAUGAUGGGCACGACUGGGCGGCGGCUCGUGCUCCAGCUGUGUACCAAAACUUUUUUUUCUUUUCUUUUCUUGGUCUUCAUUCAUCGUUUCUCUCUCUCUUUUCUAGGGCGCAUUGGAGAUAUUCCUUAGAUGGUUUCCAUCAUAUACUAUCAUGCAUGUCUCGCUGUGUUUUUGGCGCGUGUCCUUCGCUUCGCUUGUGUCUUUUUUUUAUCUAUUAUUAUUAACUACUACUUCGCUAUUUUCUCCCUUUCUGGAAGAAAACCUCAUGCUACAAAAGUUAUUUUUUUAGAAAAAAUUAUGAUACUAUUUGUUAAUUUAUUAUGAAAGAAAAACAAUGCUACAUAGAUGAUAAAUUUAGAUGAUGAUUACAAACCCAACCACGUUAGUGAGGUACGGAGUACAGUGCUGCACUACUGCUGCUCAUGUGCUGCGACAACCUUCAAGCUCGACCGGUCGACAUCAGGAUUCAGGACGGAGGACACUAAGGCAUGGGUCUUGUUUACUUUCAAAAUUUUUUGAAAAAUGAGCACUGUAGUAACAAAUAUUAUUCAAUCAUAGACUAAAUAGAUUUAAAAAUUUUAUCUCACAAAUUACAGACAAAUUGUGUAAUUAGUUAUUUUUUUAUUUAUAUUUAAUGUUGCACGCAUGUCGCAAGAUUCGAUGUGGCGAUGAAUAUGAAAAGUUUUGCAUAAUUUUUUAGGAAUUAAAUAAGACCCUGGUUUAGUUCCCAUCUUUUAAUUAAUAUUUUCUGUCACAUCGAAUUCUUUGGACGCAUGCAUGAAUCAUUAAAUAUAGACUAAAAUAAAAACUAAUUAUACAGUUUAUCUGUAAUUUAUGAGAUGAAUCUUUUAAGUCUAGUUAGUCCAUGAUUAGACAAUAAUUAUCAAAUACAAACAAAGUGCUACCGUAGUGAAAGCCAAAAUUUUUCGCGAACUAUACAAAAAAAUUCCAAAUUUUUUCAGAUUUCCCGUCGCAUUGAAUCUUACAGCACAUGCACGGAGUAUUAAAUAUAGAUAAAAAUAACUAAUUGUAUAAUUUAUUUGUAAUUUGUAUUUGUCAAAUAAAAAUAAAAGUGCUAUAAUAUCUCUUUUGCAAUUUCGGAAGCCUAACAAUUCGGAGAGAGCCUUUUCUGGUAUGGGAUGGAGGGGAAAACGCAACCAAGGCAGGACACGAGGACCAUCCAUGAACACGCGGCGUCACUUGAUAGUGCCAGCGCGGUGCAGCUGCUGCCUGCAGCUGCGUUGGACUUGGACCCAGUCCAUUCAAUUUAGAUCUCGUGUGGUCAAAUGUGUUUGGGUCACCGACUGAUCGAGUCCGAAUUGACCACUCGUUCAAGAUGCCCAUGCAUCAAUGUGUGGAUUUGGACUUGAUCGAUAAUCCACAGCUGAAGCUGAGGUAUCCAUCCACCAGCUCUGACCAAGCGCGUAUGGCAAGUAAGUGCAUGCUUAGCUUAAUUCUCGUAGUGCCUAGGUGUAGUGAGGGAGGGUAUAAGGUAACAAGUCAGCAUCUGAUCGAUCUUCUGGAUAAACAACCUCACCUAGUCCUAGCACAGUAAGCCCAUGUUUAGUUCUCAAAAUUUUUUAAGAUUUUCCGUCACAUCGAAUCUUUAAACGCAUGCAUAAAGUAUUAAAUAUAGAUAAAAAUAUAAUUAAUUACAAAAUUUAUCUGUAAUUUGUGAGACAAAUCUUUUGAGCCUAGUUAGUUCAUAGUCGGACAAUAAUUAUCAAAUACAAACGAAAAUGGUACAAUGUCAAAAUCAAAAAAAAAUUGCUAACUAAAUAAGACCUAAGAUGAAUCUUUUUUUUUGAGAUUACACAGUACAACGCAGACACUCAACACGCACGCACACUCACCCCUAUGAACACACGUACGCAAACCCUACCCCUAUGAGCACCUUCGAAGGACUGAGCCAGCGAAUCUUGAAGUUCACGAAGUCACCACAGGCGCCUCGCUGUCGACGGGCACGUCGCCUACCAUUUAAUGCAUAGCACCGGAAAAUCCUGAAAUAAAUCCAGAAUAAAGUGCCGCACCCAGGAUUUGAACCCUGGGUGGGAGCCCCCGAACCAAUGGCCUUUGCCAUUGCGAUGAAUCUGGUAAAAAGAUGCAGAGCUCCAUCGAUAUGAUUACCCAUUACCUAACUGAGCUGGAGCAAACUGCUUAGCUGUACCCCCAGACGCCACCUGAUCCAGCUUCAUCGACUCCUUCUCCUUCACAUAGAUUGCCGUCACACUGGCGCUUUGUUCUUGUACCAUAUAUCACUAUAAUUUUGCUUUUGACAUUCUAGGUCUUCUCCGUUUCGUUCCAAAAUAUAGGUGGAUUUAUUUUUUUAUUAAGUAUCUACAACAUCAAAUUAGUUUUAGUGUUUUUCAUGAAAUAUUUCUUGAUAGUAUACUUCUUUGAAAUUUUAGAUGUUAACGCACUUUAAAAAAAUAGUGACUAAUGUUUCACCAAAUCUAUAUAAAAAAUACUAACGCCUAUAAUACUAAAUAACUAUCAUUAAAAUAACUAUAAAAUAUUUUUCUCAGAAUAAAUCUUUUUGAAGACAUAAGUAUUGAUACUACUUUUUUUUGUAAACUUGCUCAAAUUUGAGAAAAUUUAACUUGUUCUAAACCUAGAAUUGUAAGGAGGAGUAGAAAAGUUAGACUUAAAAUCAAACUAAGGUAACAAACGAUUUUGGACUAUAGCGGGUAUGUAGGAGGAGAAAGAUAGUUAGAUACCUCCUCUAUUUGGUGGUUUCAUGUUCUUGUUAUUCCAUUAUUGUUCUUAAUAUUUGCUUUUUGAAAGUUUGAAAGAACGAGUGACCCCCCCUAUCUGUAGGUCUCACUGUAGGCCACAAGCCACCUGAUCCAACUUCAUCGGCUCCUUAAACAUAGAUUUGACGUGACGCCAAUGCUAUGUUCUGAUCCUGCAUUAAUUUUGCUUUUGCUAUUUUAGUUUCUAUACUGUAUUCUAAUUUAACCAAUUUUUUAUAGAAAAAAAUAAACCAACGUUUACCACAUUUUAAAAGUUUUAAAUUAAAUUAUAUAUUUUUGACAGUGCACCUAUUGAGCUCGCAGAUUUUAAAUAGUCUUUUAAAAAUAAUUUAGUUAAAUUUAGAUACAUUUGUUUUGGAACAAAGUUAAUAGCCUAUAGUUUGGAGCGGAGGGGUAAGAUUUUGGGGGGAAAUAUGGUUAGAUACCUUACUAAUUCGAUCAUUUUAUUUUUUCUUAUUCUUUAGUAAAAAUUUAAAAGGGUUAUUCUUCAUAUUUGUUUUUGAAAGUGUAGAAUAUAACCAGGGAAUCUAAAUAUGGCCAUUUUCAAUUGUCACCGUGCCGGCCGUCUGCCAAUGGAGGCCCAUGAGGCCAUGACACGAGUAAGUCGUGGCCCACCAGGAAACCGCUCAGCUCGACCGGUUCGCUGGCUCCGGCUGACGCUACACUGAAAUAGUGGUCACUAGAGACAGUCAGCGACGAUAUUAUGCUCCUAUCUGUUGCAAAUUUGUGUUCCUUAAAAAAAAUCUGUUGCAAACUACUCCCUCCGUUUCAAAUUAUAAUCCAUUUGAAUUUUUUAACAAAUAUUUGACCACUUAUCUUAUUUAAAUUUUUGUAUAAAACAUUGUUUCUUUUGUUGUGACUUGCUUUUUAAUAAAAGUUUUUUAAGUAUGAUUUGAAUUUGGGUAUAUUUACACAUAUUUUUUUAAUAAGAUGAGUGGUUUAACUUUUAGUUGAAAAAGUCAAAUAAAUUAUAAUUUGGAGCUGAGGUAGUAGUAUCCUCCCACAUGCACCUUGUGUUGAUUUUUACCUACAUUUUACAUCUGUUGGAAGAUGACCGGCACGGUGAGUGUAGAGUGGAGACAAUCAGCGACCAACUCGUGUCAUGGCCUUAAAAGAUGGUCUCUUUUCUAUACCACUUGUUGGCAGUGGUCAGUGGAGAGUGGAGACCAUCAACGACGAUUUGAGUCUGUUCGUUUGUCACCUGUACUUUUUUUUAUAUUUUUCUCUCAUAAUAAAUUAGCGAACAAUAUUACUCCUUUUGUUGCAAAUUAGUAUCCUGCCACAUCCACAUACUUCCUCUGUCAAAUGUACCUAUAGUAUUAAAUCAAACAAUAUUUCAUUUAAUCAGAUAUUUAAAAAUAUAUAGAUAUUUAUGAUAUUAAAUAAGUACCAUUAUAGAUUCAUCAUGAAAUAUUUUCAUAGUAUAUCUAUUUAUAGUCACAAUUGGUGAUACUAUUUUUUGUAAAUUUAGUCAAAAAAUAGUUUGACUUGCAUCAGAAAUAGAAGUGUCUCUUUUUUGGAUAGAAAUUAUAUAAUCGAGUUAUUGAAUAUUUGAGUUGAAUCAUGCAAUUCUUUGCCAGAGCAUGGCCUCAGGUCACUCGCUGCCACAUAACAAAUUCUAUAACUGUACUACUCAGAUGAGAGACUUAAAAGGUGCAUCAGCCGUGGCAUACUGGCAUAGGCUACAAGUAGGGAUGGAUUUCAAUCAGAUGUGAAUGGAAUAUUAUUUAUCGUUACUUUAAUUUGAAUUCAAAAAUAAAUGUGGAUGUUACGUAUAAGGAAAAAGACGGAAAGUUUGAAUUUGGACUCGCAUUCAUAUAUCUACUUGAUUUUGAAGGUAACAAAUAUCUAUUUGCUUUACUGAUUGUUUUACCAAAACUAAAUCAUUAUACAAAUAGGGAUUAAACUAUGAGUUAUGACCAGUGAUGGACGUAGAAUUUUUUUUAAGUGGGACGAACUUUAGCUAAAAGUUAAACUUAAGAUGGAAAAAAAAACAACGUGCACAUUGCAAUCGCACAAAUUAUAGUAAAAUAGUGAGCGAACAACAAAUUAUAAGUUUUGUUUUUUUCACAAAACCAUUGAAAAUCCAUCAAAAGAAUAUGAUGAAUAUUAGAAGAUAUACACGCACCCAUGAAUACCCAUGCUCCAUCGACGGUAGAUCAAGAGGCUCGGGUUUGAACAAUCAAGUCGCCAGAACUCCGAUUUGAGGCGUCACCAGUCGGCCAGCACGUCUCCAAGCCAUGCGCCCAAGCGGUCGCUCAGGUGGCCGGCUGGCAUGGCCGCAUGGCUAAGCCACAGCCAAGUCCAAAAGUGAUGCAAGUCACCGUGUUUGGUUGCCGAGCCUUGUGGAGCCGAGUCCAAACGAGAAUAUGACAGUUCACCUAAAAACAAAAAAAAAUUAUCAAGAUUUUUUGUCACAUCAAAUCUUACGGCACAUGCAUAUAACAUUAAAUAUAGAUGAAAAUAAAAACUAAUUGUACAAUUUAUCUGUAAAUCACGAGACAAAUCUUUUAAGUCUAAUUACUAUAUAAUUGGACAAUGUUUGUCAAAUAAAAAUAAAAGUGUUACAGUGUCAAAAUCCAAAAACGUUUCGCACCUAAACAAAGCCUAUGUUUGGUUGCCAAUGCACAAGAAGUCAACAAGUAUUAGUACCUUGCACAGGGUUGUGGUAGCCUUAUCACCAUAGAAGACUUCGCUGGUAUUUCGUCGAGCAGUCGAUGGGCGGUGGCGGCUCUACACCCAUGGUGUUGAGGGGGUUUGGCGCCGGUGCGGUGAAGAUCGGACGACGCAAGUCGAUGCCCGAGGUCACGGCCAGCUCAAUGAGGCAAAGGUGGCGCAGAGGAAGCAGAUGACUGGCGGCAAAUGGCGUGGCCGCGGCACGACGACGAGGUGAGGACGAGGCUGCUCGGUUCGGCGAAGGAAACGACGACGGUUGGUGGGGAAUCCGGCAUCCCCGAGCCCACACCUAAAGUUGAGCAUGCAGCCCGCGGGCCAAAGGCACGGUCAUUUGGCCCGGCCCGAGCACGGCACGGUCCGAUCCUAACUGGGCCCGGGCCGGCCCGAAGCACGUUGCGGGCCGUGCUUGGGCCGACCCCUCGGCCCGCUGGGCGGCACGGCACGCUUUUAACAGCAGGCACGGUGUCGGCACGGUAUGAGAAAAUUUGUGAAACUUGAAGUAUCAGGUUCUAUGACUUGUGAAAUUUGUGACUUUUGGCAAGUAAAAUAUAAUAUGAGAGUAUAUUGUGUUAUGUGAAUUGUGAAGUAUUAAUGUAUGUGACUUGAAUGUAAUAUAUUUAUGCUUUGUUAAAUUCUGUAUUAAAUUUGAUGUUUUUCAUAUAUCGGGCCAUGGGCCGGCUCGAAGGACUAUUGGGCCUCGUGCCUUUCGGCCCGGCCCGGCACGAAAAUCGGCCCACGGGCCGUGCCUGGGCCGUCAGGCAGGCACGGCCAUACGGGCCCGUGCCCUUUUGGCCCGUGCCAGGCCGUGCCGGGCCGGUCCGUUGCUCAUCUUUACCCACACCGCACCCGCUUGGGCGGCAGUGCCGGAGUGGACGCCCGCUGAGACGCUGGAGCUAGUCACCGAGGUCAUGGCCAUAGACGACGGCAGGUCCCGCUCUGUCUCUGUGUUCCAGAAGUGGGCUACCCCUUUACCUGCUGUUGCUGCGAGAGGUGGUGGCGCGUGUCUGUGGAGGCGUCCGAGUCGUCCAUCUUGGCGCUACCUUCUUGAAGGCCGAGCCGCCGAGGUGCUUGCAUUGCCUGCAGCUGGUGGAGGGUGAAGUAGAUGAAGGAGGCAGGCGCACCGAAGACACGGACGAGGCAAAGGAGAUGCCUAGCAGCAGAAGGGGAGACGGAGGGAGGUGACCGCAUCGGUCCAGUGAGGCCACGAAGCCCUCGAACAAGCCAGACUCCAUAAAAAUAAAGCCCCCCCAUCGUUUCUCCAAGGCCUUGUUUAGUUCACCCUGAAAACCAAAAAAAUUUCAAGAUUUCCCGUCACAUCGAAUCUUGUGGCAUAUGCAUGAAAUAUUAAAUAUAGACAAAAACAAAAACUAAUUACACAGUUUAGCUGUAAAUCACGAGACGAAUCUUUUGAUCCUAGUUAGUCCAUGAUUAGAUAAUAUUUAUCACAAACAAACGAAAGUGCUACAGUACCGAAAAGUUUUCACUUUUCGGAACUAAACAAGGCCCAAGGCCUGACCCAACAUGCUUUAGGGUGUGUUUGGUUGGGCUGUGACUUUUGGAAAAGCUACUGUGAGCUUUGAGCUUUUGAAAAGCUGCUGUGGAAUGUGGGCUUUGAGAAACCCAAAAGUCAUUUCGUUGGUCACUCGUGGCUUUUGGAAAAAAAACUGAACGGAUUCCAAAAGUCAGUGAAAGCAGGGGGUGAGGUGCUUUUGGAUUUGUACUACGAGAAAAGCUGCUUUUGGGCAAAAGCACUUGUGGCUUUUGGGCCCUUUGGUUGGCUUUUGGCUUUUACAAAAGUAAAAGCAGGUUCAAAAGCCCAGCAAAGGGACCUUUAAGUUCCGUGUGGAACAGCCUCCGAGGCUGGAUCAAUUGCACCAAACACGAUAUGUUGUAGCUGGGGAGCUCGAGCCACCCUUCCGGCCUGAUAUCAAAUACGCCCUCAAUGUUCCGUGGAGAGAAACACUAUCUGAGCAUAACGAGGGCAGCAGACGUGGCGCGCCUCAUAUCGUCUGGACUAGAGUUAACUGGGCUACAAUCGCAAAAAAAAAAUUAAAAAUAGAGAGCUAACUGGGCUACCAGCUAAUUGGACUAUUCACUGUCUACUUGUCUUUAAUUUGCUUGGCCCAUAAACAGACCAUUACCACCUACGUCAACAGCAAGCCCAGGAGGAGGCUAUUUUCUCCAAGGAAAAAGUCCACUUUAGGUCCCUUAACUUUCACGAAAGUCUAAUUUUUAUCCCUGAACUCUAAAAUCAGAUAAGUUACAUCCCUCAACUUUUAAAACCGUGCACAUUACAUCCUUGGCCUAGUUUUGAAAGCGGUUUUGUCCUUUUCUUUUUAUUUAAUUUAGCUGACUUUUUUUUGAAAAAUCACAGUAAAUCACAUAAAAAUCAUAAAAUAGAAAACUCAAUUUUGUUGAACUUCUGAUGAGUAGAUCUACAUAUUAAAUAUAUAAUAUAGUAUAUUUUAGUAUAAUUUUUUUUGAUGCAGCUUUAGAUCUAUGCUUUUCUGUAAUUAAUUAGACUAAUUAUAGCUACAGUUUAUAUGGUCCAAUUGUGAUGAAAUUUAUAUGGUGGGCUAUUAUUCUAUGAUUGAGUUGUAGUAAAAAUUUCAUACUCAUUGGAACAUGUAUUACUUAGUUAUAGAUUUAUUUAGGUUUAUGCUUGUUAAAUCUUAAUAAAUCUAUAACUAAGUUAUACAUGAUCUAAUGAGUAUUAAAUUUUUACCACAAUUUAAACAUAUAAUAAUUAGCCCAACAUAAAAAAUUCAUCAUAAUUGGACCAUAUAAACUAUAGCUAUGAACUAUUCUAAUUAAUUAUAGAAAAACACAGAUCUAAAGCUACAACAAAAACUUUCUACUAAAGCAUACCAUAUUAUAUGUUCAUUGUGUAGAUCUACUUAUUUGGAGUCCAACAAAUUCAGAUUUACUAUUUUAUGAAUUUAAUGUGAUUUACUAUAAUUUUACAAAUAUUCAGCCAAAAUAAAUAAAAAUGAAAAAAACAAAACUGCCUUCAAAACCGCUCAUAAUCAUGUUAGGGACGUAAUAUGCAUGGUUUCAAAAAUUGAGGGAUGUAUUUUACCCGAUUUUGAAAUUCAAAGAUGAAAAACAGACUUUUGCGAAAGUUGAGGGACCGACUUUUUCCUUUCUCUGGCCCACGAGGAGGCUUUCUUCUCCGAUCCGAUCGGCUGGAGCAGCCGCCGCCCGCCGCCGUUUCUUCAAGCCAAAAGAAGAAAAAAACGCAGGCUAGGGGAAAAAACCGGGAGGUCUCUUGAGGUUCGACGGCCGCCCCACCUACACUAGUCCGCCCCUAGUACACCUUCAAAAUAUGUAGAGGCAAAGUAGUACCGCCCCGCUAUGCUCAACUCGUCCCCAGAUUGUUUUUUUCACUCACUACUCGCAAUCAGAAUAGAUAUCAAACAAAAUCAAAUUAAAUCGUUCUAAAUCUAAAUCGCCCUCAUGUCCAGAUUCUUUUUGCCUCGCUUCUCCAAAUCAGAAUUGAAUAUCAGAAUUGAAUAUCAAAUCAGAUCAAAUCGUUCGAAAUGUAAAUCGGAAAAAAUAUCAAACUAAAUUAAAUGAAAUCGAAAAAACACAAGUCGUCGGUAGUGCUUGGUGCGUGGAACCGAGGAGGCUAAGGUCUUCACCCGACACGGACAACGACUCGAACUCAACCUCGCGUCACCUGCACGAGCGCUCAUGGACCACCAAACUUAGGCCCAGCGUCACUAUAAAAAUAAUAAGAGUAGGUACAAUAACACUCUGAUUUCAUCGAUCAGCUCGUCAUGCAUACAUAUACACUUUCUUAUGCAAAGGUUAACUCUUUCUUUCUUAUCCUUACAUAUUAAAAAAAUAGACUAUAAAAGAUAAUUGUUGUAUGAGCUAGACUCUAAACUUGUCUAUUGAUGAUUUAGCUUGGCUUAUAGACAUGUUUUAUUAAGCUUGCUCUAAAACCCGCUCUCACGUGACCUCGAUCCAGUCCCAAACUCGAGACAAAACCUGUGCUGUACUUAGCAGACAAUUAAGUCUUACCGCUAUCAAUGUAAAGUGAAACUAUUAUGUAUGUUUAAUAUGUUUAUCUAAAUCGUAAACUAUUAUGUAUGGCUAGAGGAAGGUGGAGACGGCUUUAUAUUUUCUAUAUAACUAGAUUUAUAGAUUUUUUUAAUAUGUUUAUCUAAAUCGUAACUCACGAACGGACUCUGAUCAGCUAUUAUCAUCGCUGGAGAAUGUCAUCACCAAAUAACUUAUUGCUGAAACUGAAAAACGUUUGUGAUGGCCUUUUACGAACCGCUUAUGAUAGGUUUGAAUAUAUAUAGUAGUUCUUCACCAUAUAUAUAUGGCACACUUGCUCAUGAAAAUUCUUGGUUCAUGUGUCUAAACUGGUUGUAAACUUACAACUCAUUUCUCCUCUCUCUUUUUUUUUUCUCUCCUCUCCACUUUAGUAUUUAGUUAGUUUAUGACGUGUUAUUAUACUUGCUCUAAGAACAGCUACAACGUGUGCUAAAAACGAUGCUUUAACUCUCAAUGCAUGUUUCAUGAAAGUGUCAUGCACAUUAAAUAGGGUGCCACAUAAGCAAAUUUGCUGACUUGACAGGGUCAUUAAAUGAAGGAGUUUCAUCAGAUGAGAGAGGAGUUUCAUCCUCAUGAAACUUUUAUGGCUCGGUUACAUAAUUUAUAGUUUUGAUAACUGUGUCAUAAAACUAUGCAUCGAGACUGACCUAAGCCUCGGUAUGCACAUGGCGAAGCGAUGCCGGAACUAUAGAGCGGCUAACAUUGAUGACUCUACUCACCUCGAUGCUUCAUCGAUAAAAUAUUUUUCUGUCCCGAUAGUAUUCAAGUUGAUGUAGCUCGUCGCACUCAAAGCCACUAUGAUAUGAUAGAGCUCCACUUCUUGAUUCUAUUAAGAAGGGAUUCUGGUGCGAAGUAAGUGAGAAUUAAUUCUAAAAUAAUUCCUGUGGCAAAUAAAUAAAGACUAGCGAAAAAUGGUGGAGAGUGUUUUUUUUAAAGCUUUUAGAUAGUGUAAAUAGAGAAGUGAUUUUUAUCAACUAUCCUACGGAAUAUAGUUACAUUUUAAGUAUUUGCACGGCUCCAUAGAAGCUAAAGGAAGAUGAGUUCAGGAGCUAUGCUAAAGAAGCUUUUUUGUGUUAUGGAGAGAAAUACAAGAGGUUUUCCGUUUUUCAUUAAAAGAAAGGUAAUCAAAUAUUACAAGAGCAGGACUAAAUGAGCCUCGAAUGUUAUUAACUUCUUGUGUUAUGGAGAGAAAUACUCUAUUUAUUUGAUAGUGGCCCUACAUGUGAAGCAUCGUUUUUUUUUUGACAAGUCAAGCAUCGUUGUUGACGUUUUUUCUAGAUUGUUGUUUUUUUUAUGUGGUUAUGAAAUGACAUUUCAACCUCGACUACAUCGCGGGUGUUACACACGAUGGCUGGCAAUUGGCCCCACUCAUCAUAGACACACACAGACACAGGAAUACGUGUGAUGUGAACGAAAUCAUGUCUCUUUCUCGGGUCUUGUUUAGAUCCAAAAACUUUUUAGAUUUUAACACUGUAUCACUUUCGUUUUAUUUGACAAAUAUUAUUUAAUCAUAGAGCAACUAGACUUAAAAGAUUCGUCUCGUGAUUUACAAGUAAACUUUGCAAUUAGUUAUCUUUUUUAUUUAUAUUUAAUGUUCCAUACAUGUGCCGUAAGAUUCUGUGACGAGGAAUCUUGUAAAGUUUUGGAUAAACAAGACCUGAUUCGAAGGCGCAUUCCUGCCAGAGCGCUUCCCUUACUUCAUCGCAGCGUAACGUGUGACACCGUCCGUUCGGCACUUCGGCCUCCUCGCACGCCCCCAAAUCCCCCAGCUGCGCUUCCAAAGCCAGCAGCCGGCGGGCCCCUCUACAAAAGCAGGCGGCUUGCGCGUGCGCGACGGGCAGCAGCACCUGCCUCUGCCUGAGCCAGUACGCCUCGGUGAGCAGACAAGCGAUGGCGGCCACGGUGGAGGGGGUGCGGCACCGGACGGUGGAGGCGAACGGAGUGCGCCUGCACGUGGCGGAGGCUGGGCCCGAGGAGGCCGGCGCCCCCGUGGUGCUGCUCGUUCACGGCUUCCCGGACCUCUGGUACGGCUGGCGCCACCAGAUGGCCGCCCUGGCGGCGCGCGGCUACCGCGCCGUGGCCCCGGACCUCCGCGGCUACGGCGACUCCGACUCCCCGCCCGACGCGUCCAGCUACACCACCUUCCAUGUCGUCGGGGACCUCGUCGCGCUCAUCUCCGACCUCGGCCAGCCCCGGGUCCGUUCGAUUCGUUGCACACCAAUCCAAGCUGCGACGCAGAAACGCGACGUUGACUUCUUUUUUUCUUUCUUUUUGAUUUGAUCGGGUUAUCUUCUCGCAAUCUCGCUGCAGGUGUUCGUGGUGGGGCACGACUGGGGCGCCAUCGUGGCGUGGCAGCUGUGUCUGCUCCGGCCGGACCUGGUGCGGGCGCUCGUGAACCUCAGCGUCGUGUACCACCCGCGGCGGCCGGAGAUGAGCCCGCUCCAGACCAUCAGGGCUGCCUGCGGCGAAGACCACUACAUGUGCCGCUUCCAGGUAAACAAAGGCCUUGUUUACUUCCCAAAAAAUUUUGCAAAUUUUUUCACAUUCUCCGUCACAUCAAAUCUUUAAACGCAUGCAUGAGGUAUUAAAUAUAAACGAAAAUAAAAACUAAUUGCACAGUUUGGUCGGAAUUGACGAGACGAAUCUUUUGAGCCUAGUUAGUAUAUGAUUGGACAAUGUUUGUCAAAUAUAAACGAAAAUGCUACAGUGUCAAUUUUCUAAAAUUUUUGGGAACUAAACAAGGCCAAAGUGGAGUACUCUGCUUCCAUUCCUAUUGCAUACUGCUAUUGCAGUCUCCUAUCGGCAGACAGGAUCAAUCAAUGCUCUUUAUUUAUGAUGAGUAGCCAUGUUCCGUCCUCUGCCCUGAUAACCAUUGGUUCGGGCGUUUGGCACUUUUCGUUAAUUUGGCAGAUUCGAUGGAUGCUAGAAUGAUUACUUGGUGCCUUAAUUUGUUUCUCCUAGCGGUUAAGGAUUGGAUUUGGCACCCCGCACAGAUAAUGCUGGGAGUGAUGAUAAACAGAAACAGCUAGAAGUAUCCACAGUUGCAGUCUUGCAGAUAGAUAAGGGUGACGAAAUAAAUGCUACUGGGAACUUCUAAUUUAAAAAAUGAAGCACAGCCCAUAGAUUGAACUGGGAGGAGGUUAGCAGAUCAUUUGAUAGAAACUUGAAUACUUAGUCCUGUGGUUUAUUUUUUUAGACAAUAGGCUUCCCUACAACAAAUUAAUAUCAACAGAGUAACAGUUGUGUGCAAGUUUCUUAAUAUAGGCCUUGUUUAGUUCCCAAAUAAUUUUGCAAAAUUUUUCGGAUUUCCCGUCACAUUGAAUCUUUAGAUACAUGCAUGGAAUAUUAAAUAUAGAUGAAAAUAAAAACUAAUUGCACAGUUUGGUCGGAAUUGACGAGACGAGUCUUUUAAGCCUAGUUAGUCCAUGAUUGGACAAUAUUUGUCAAAUACAAACGAAAGUGCUACAGUGUCGAUUUCUCAAAGUUUUUUGGAACUAAACAAGGCCAUAAUGAUAUGUGUUUGAGAAAAAAAAAAUUUGUGCAAGGGUCCAAACAAAAGCAUAGUUUAUAGGAAAUAUCAGGUCUUCUUUGGAGCUCUAUCAAUGAAUAUCAGCAUGCAGCACCAGGUCUUUUAGAGCUGCAAAACUUACCUAACUAUUCAGAUUGUCUCACUGCUUUUAGUUCAUUUGAAUCUUCAAGGGAAUACUCUUUGAUGUCACUGUCUUGAAAUCAUCUACUUUGUUGCAUUUCCAUAGUGCGGUUAUGUGGAACUAGCUAUUUUAAUUCUACAUUGUGAUAUAUUUUGUGCAUAUCAAUGUCCCUUUAUACUUUUUUUUUAAUUUUUUUUUUGAAAAAUACUGUACAUAUCGAAUUACAUAAGAAUGCAUACAGGAACCUGGUGUUGCUGAAGCUGAGUUUGCUCUGUAUGACACCAAGUAUGUGUUUAAGAAGACAUUCGGCAUGCGCAAGCCAGCUCCUCUUGUUCUACCUAAGGACAAGAGCUUCUUUGAUUCACUUGAUUCAGAUGGAACUUGUCCUCCAUGGCUAUCAGAGGAAGAUAUUUCCUACUAUGCAGAAAAAUUUGCGAAAACAGGCUUUACUGGAGGACUUAACUACUACAGAUGCAUGGACAGGUAUGUGUCUUAUGGUCAGUCAACAGUUUUGAUUUUGCAAUUUACUUCUUUAUUGAUGCUAUCAAUCAUUUGCCAUUCAACAAUUUCCCGUUUUUUAUUUGCCAUGGGAUAACUGAAAGUAUCAAUUCAUGAUUGAUUAGACCAUUCAAAUGUGCAAGUUGAUUUUAUUUUGAAUUUACACCUUUUUUCAUGCGGUUUGGGUGUGUGUGGGGUCGGGGGUCACGUAUACUACCUCUGUUCUAAGAAACAUGUCGUUUUAGCUUUGUCUGAAGCAAAACUUUUCAAAUUUGACCAGUCUUAUAUACAGAGAAGAUUGUCAACAUUUAUUAUAGCAAGUAUGUGUAAUAUGAAAACAUGUUCCGCGUCAUACUUAUUUGGUGACACAAAUAUAAAUAUUGUCUUAGACUUGGUUAAAUGUAAGAUAGUUUGACUUAAAAUUCUUAUAGAAGAACUAGAAUCUCAAUUUUUCUUAGACGGAGCUAGUAUAAUGUUUGAAAAGGAGAGGAAUUAAUGACAAAUAUAAGUUUUACGAAUUACUGAACUCGAUUUCAUUUGGUGCCAACUGCCAACCAAUGUAAAUUCGACCUUUAUGUACAGAAGAGGCUUUAUUUAGAGCUGACAGAGGCAUUUGUAAGGUCUCACGAGAUCCAUUUCGUGGUCAUGCAGGAGCUGGGAGCUUUCUGCACCAUGGACUGGAGCUCAGAUAAAAGUUCCGUCAAAAUUCAUUGUUGGGGACCUAGACAUUACAUACAACGCCCCCGGGGUACCAGACUACAUUCACAAGGGUGGCUUCAAGGCAAGCGUGCCAAAUCUAGAGGACGUGGUUAUUAUGGAGGGAGUGAGCCACUUCCUCAACCAGGAGAAGCCUAAUGAGGUCUCUGAUCACAUCUGCGAGUUCUUUAGCAAGUUCUGAUAUGUAUGUAUAAGGAAAAAUGUCAAGGAGCAAUUAUAUGCUUCUGAGCUACUUUUAUGUCAAAUGCGGUUGCCAGUGUCACCAUACAAAUAUAUAUGAAUCUAAAUAAAAUUCGUCUGUCUCUGAUCAAAAUUUUGAAGAUCUUCACUUGUCACAGAGUGUUUGCCUUCUUACUGCAUUGAAGUUUUAACAUGUGUUUAUAAACCGUUCGCUUGUCUUAUAAGCCGUACUUUUUCUACCAGUCAACAAUGUUUUUCUCUCACGAUAAAUCAAUGAACAAUAUUUUUAGCUAUGACUUGACUUUUCAGACCGACGAACAGAAUUAGGAUACAACUUUGAACCCAAUGGGCCGGGCCAGCAAUUGAGAUGACAUUCUGCGCGACGAGAUGAGCGGCCUGCGGCAAGUGGUUGGCUGCUACAGUGCUACCUCUCCCACCAGAUCACCAGAGACUUGCCGUCAUCGACCCGGCCAGCCAAUGCAUUGCUUAUAUGUGGAGACAUGCACGAAAAAAAAAUAUUAAAAGAAAAAAAUAUUCAAGUUCUGAUGACAUAUAAUAUUAACAGCAUGUAUCAUGUGGUUUAACUUUGUAGCACCACUAGGACAUCACGACGAUGACUUGAGCAGACUCAUUGGACCAUCAGCGGCAACCAAAACAUGAGACUUCUUAGACUCUCAAUCCAAUGUCUGCGAACAAGCAACAUCUAGAUGGACGCGAUGUCAUCAUCGGUUUGCGUACGAUCGAGAGCGCAUGAUCGAGCAGAAAGGCAGUUUAGACAUGCUCACGAUGCCAGACUAAACACGUUUUCUAAAAUCAUGUUCUGUAUUAUGGUGCGCGGCUCACAGAAAAUAGAGCAUGAUUUUAGUGAAAGUAUGAAAUUAGUUUUAUAUUUUUUUGAGUUAUAUGAAAUUUCUAUAAACUUUCAAUAUUAACUAGUAUUUUUAAAUGCAUAUUUACUGAAAAAACAAGACUUGUUUUUUUGAAGUUAUUUCUAAACUUUAUUUUUUGAUAAAUUCUAGGCUCCCUGAAUGACAUGGCGCCCAGGCUAAUGUUUUUUUUUCACGAUUGGGCUACACCUAUAGGACGGCUAACGUGGCAUCAUAUCAACCAAAACUGCUCCAAAAUUAUUCAAGAGAGGUAAAUUGGAUGGCUUCAAAAGUUAGAUGAGUGUAAAAAUCUAGUUUCCUGAUUGAAGGAGGCAAAUUGGACUUAUAAAUAAUUGAGGGAGAUGAGAUGGCCUUAAUUUUUUUUCAUGAACCUAGCUAGUCGCCUGAACACAGACAACAGUUUUGUGUCUUGGACAAUGGUUGCUUGUAUUGGAAUUCUGAGCAUUUCAAUAGCGAUUCUUUGAGUAACAUGAAGAACGGAGCAGAUCUCAUGCAUCUAUAAGAAUUGCAUAAUCGGUGCUUUACUGCUUUUGGUACAUUCUCUAGCAAUUUUCUUUUCUUUUUGAACCUCUUGGUAUCUUUAAGGAAUGAUAAAAAUCUCUUGAUCAGUUGUAUCCAAGAUGAAGCUUGGACUCAAAGGUAGGGUAUUUUUUUUCAUAAAUACACAGGGACUUUUGUACGAGACGCAAUAGUAUCUCUAGUUAUAGUAACUCUAGUAUGCAAUCAUGUAAAUAUCUCUUCUCGCCAUCCCCAUAUAGCAUAUUAGAAAAAUGCAUGCAUUUUGAGAAGGGUCGUAUUCUAUUGUUACAAUUCUACUGAAUAUACCUUUUUAUUCUGUUCAGAAUUGGUUUUACAGUAUUGGUGCUUAUGAUUUGGGGGCAAUGACUCCUUUGGCAUUACGGUCUUCCCACAAUGGUGUUGUCCAUGAACCGAUUUAUCUGCGGAUUAAAUUUUGAUUAUUUUGACAAAAGCAAGGAAAUGUGCUUAAGCAGGUCCACUUGAGAACACUUGGUGACAACAUAGUGCCGUUGUCGUAUGUUUGUUUAAUAGGGAAUUUAACUAUUGAUUUCAGUUAUAAACAAACUGAGUACUUGUGUGCUUGGACAUUAUAUUGUGAUAUACCGAUACUGAAGGAUAAGUUUUGAGAAAUAAGUAAUAUAUGAACACCAACUACUUUCAAAAAAUGAUAUUGAACACUAGCUUCAAGUUUGCCUUUUAUUUAUUGAACUAUUUGAGUGGUUAUUCACUUUAGGAACUGUCUUUUCCGGUUCAUACAUAGUCCAAGUAUACCAACUAAGGCAUUUCCAAGACCAGCUUCAAGCUUGCCUUUAUUUAUUGAACUAUUUGAGUGGUUAUUCACUUUAGGAAUCGUCAGGUUCAUACGUAGUCCAAGUAUACCAACUAAGGCAUUUCCACCAUCUUGUUGAAAUCCAUUUUUUAUAUCCUUGUUUCUCACAGGGAUGACUUAUGUAGCAGUAAUGGGAUAUGACCAUUCUCCUGUAGGCUGACCACUGUGUUGUAUAAACUCUCUUUCAAAGGAGUGAACUUCAUACCCAAAGCAACGAGCCUUUGUGUGGAGAACUUGUAAGGCUUGAUCAUUGGCUUGUUUUCAUCCUUGCAUCUAAUUAAAUGGUUAGACAAACAAAGGAAAAGUUAAAAUCCGCAAAGCCAAAUACUAAAUGAUGACGUAUAUAAUCUAUUCUUUGUGGGAAAGAGGAGCAAAUUAAGUUUCCCUGGUGACAUUAUCUUUAGAUACAUUUUGGUGGUGGUGGGUGGCGGGUAGGGGGCAAGGGAAUCCCCACACCUUGUUUUAAUGUUUAACCAGUUAGUUUUGAGAUCAACAAUAUUUCUAAAAGAGUAGCAUAAAUUAGACAAACAUGCAUUGCAAAUGAAGGAUCCACUAUUUGAAAUCAUAAUAAGAAUUGCAGAUAACUAUACUUGGUGGUGAUCGGGUACUGUGGGAAGAGCUCUCUCAUCAUUUGAAGAAAUUCCGAUUGAUGUAGCAUGUCACCUAUGCAGAGGUACCGCCCAUGUGUGCUCAAAUCUUCAUACACGAAAAUAUGGGCAAGGGCAACAUCCCGCACAUCGACAUAUGCUCCAACUGCGUUCGAGUAUGCCUUCUUUGUGCCGUUCAUGUAGGUGGCAACUGCAGAUAAAGUUAAGUUUAAUGUUGGUUGUAGCAUUCUGCCUAUUGUCACUGAUGGGACAACUAUUAGUAGUUGUAUCCCUCUCUUUGAUGCCUCUUCCAUUGCAGUCUUCUCAGCAACCGUCUUCGCGUAGCAAUACCAAUUCUGUAUUUUGAUCAUACAUACUAAGUCAAUAAAAACGAUGCAUGCUAAACAUGCUAGGUCAGGUGGCCCAGUAUGUAUGACAAUUGUGUAUUUUGUUUGAGGUUUUAUGAUGAGCCAUAUAUACUAUUAUCCAUAAUAGUAGAAGUGGUGGAUGACCUGUGUUUGCUUGCAGAAGUCAAGAUCACUCCAACAACUCUCGUCCACAGUCCGAUCAGGGUUCCUGUUAGGGUUCAUGUGGACAGCCCCAUAAGAUGAGGUGAACACCACACGUUGCACCCCCAUGUCUGCUGCAGCGUUCAUAACGUUCUUUGUUCCCUCAAUAGCAACCGGCACAAGGUCCUGCAUGCAUCAUUAUUGCAUUGUGCAUCAUAAGCAUAUAUGUGACGCUUGAAUUGGAAUAUGAAAUCAAUGGAAAAAUGAAGCCUAACAACGUAUAGAGAAGAGGAAGCAGUGAGAAUACUGACAGGAUCAUUGGAUAUCGGGGAGGCAACAUGGAAGACACCAUCACAUAAGCUGAAGGCACGACGAAGUGACAUGUAGUCCAGCACAUCAGCAUGGUACAGAGAUAGCCGUUCUUGAGCUCCAUCCAGUGCCCGCAGAUGGGAAUUCUUCGAGUCCUCUGGCAGGCACCAUGCAUAACAAGAAAUUGGAAGUAUAUAUAAACGAUUUGCUGGAACGAGAAUAAACACACCAGCAUGAUAAUGAUAAUACUGAAUUUGAAUAACGUAGUACGUGCUGACUCACUCACUCACCAGGGUCCCUGGCGGUGCCCCUGACAGCGUAGCCGCGUUGGAGCAGCUCCUUGACCAGCCAUGACCCAAUGAAGCCUCCAGCUCCGGUCACGCACACCAGCUGCUCAGCAGCUGCCUCCACCAUGGUCGAUCCAACCGAGAUCGGCUGAUGAUGCUGUGAACACUGCCUAUCGCGAUCUCUUGCGAGGCUAAACUACUGGCGCACUAACGAAGCUCUAGCUGGUCCUGGAUUAGACUCUCUUAUAUACUUAUAUAUAUAGGCUGGUCCAUCUCUGCUUCUAUCUAUCUAAUACUACUACGUUUUUUUACCUUUUUUUUUGUGCGAAAUCUAGCACAAGGUAAAAAUCGAGGAAGUUCGCAAUCGCACCCGGGUUCCACGUGGGUGUGAAUUAAUUAAUGUCCAGCGCAAAGCAUUUGUGGAGAGUAGGCUUUCGUUUUAGAGAAGUAAGCAACUUGAGCGGAUGAGACAAAACAAACUGAUCUAAUAUAAUCAGCUAUUAAUUUUUAAUUCCACAAUUAAAUGCAUACCUACAACAUGGUGAUCAUGUUUGGGGGGAGAGGUGUCAUUAGACGCGCUAGGAAAUAAUCAGCUAUUAAUUUUUUUUGAAACUGAGCUAUCCGUAUACUAAUAUAGCUUCAUUGGUUAAGGUUAAUGUCAUGGGAGUUCCAUAGCACGUUUUUCACUAAGAAGAAAUGAGUGUUACAACAACGUAUGCGAUCUAUAGCGCUAAUCAUGAGUGUUCUUAUUUUCUUUCCAUGUACUAAACCGAGAGAAGAAAUUUAUGGUACUCUGACAUGAUUAAUCCGUGAUUCUACUAUUCGUGCAUGUAUGCUAUUUCUCCACGGAAGAAUGAAACUCGUGGAGGAAGAAAAAGGACAGGAGAUUCAAAUUCCGAAGAUAUGUCGAGCUCUCUCUCCCCACCUCAAAAAGUAGUAUCGAUAUAGAUUUUCUCCUCAAUUAUUUCUAGCUUUGACUUAGGGCAGUUUCAAUAGAACAUUAAUGAAAGUUUCUAUCUAUGCUAACAGGUCUGUUUAGUUCUAAAUUUUUUUGGGCCAAAAGCAAACUAAUUUGCGUUUUCGCAAUUUAGAAGUACUAGCAAAUAUGGCCGUGCGUUGCAACGGGAGAAAAACAUUAAAUAGCCAUAGAAAGUGAUGGCAUAAUAUUACAUAUCUAUUUAUAUUUAUCUUUUUUAUAAAAUUUAAAGUCCAUAAUUUAUUUUAUUGAUAACCAUGACAUCUAUGGUAUUGAUAGUUAAUAUUUACAAUAAUAUAUAGCUUGGAAACAUAUUUAUUUAAUACUAAUAAUAAUAAUAGAAAUUAGUCAAACCUUACCUCUUAAUAUACCUUAGUAUUAUACUAAAACAUGAGAAGUUUGUUGGUAGCUUUUUUUAUUUAGGUUAGGAUUCCUAUGAAAUAUGAUAUAUCAGUUAAAUGUAUGUAGAUUAUGAAUAUAUGAGCUUAUGAAGUGUUCAUAUGACAUAACAACACAUCGUGCAAAGAUAAUGUAAGCAUCCUCAAGCAUAAAUUUAGAUAAAUUAGUAAAUUAGUGAGAUAUGCAAGAAUAAUGCUAAAACUUUUACCACAAAUCAAGCAUCACAUUAAAUAGACUACCAUAAAAUUUUCAUAAUAAUUGGAGCAAGAUAACUACAAUUUCAAUUUUACACUAAAAAGCAUAGGCAAACAUCUUUAGCAAAAAAUAAAUAUAGUAAAAUUUGUGAUAUUUUUUGUUUAAUGCAUGGAUCUACAUAUAUGGAGCUGAACAAAUUUUGUUUUAUAAUUUUUAGAUUUUCUUAUGAUUUACUACGUAUUUAUCAAUUUCUAGCCGAUCAAUUUUGCACUAAAAAGCAUAGUCAAGCAUCUCUAGUAAAGAAAAUAUAAUAAAAUUUGUGAUAUUUUUUGUUUACUGCAUGGAUGUACAUAUGUGGAGCUGAACAAAAUUUGUUUUGUAAUUUUUAGAUUUUUCUAUGAAUUACUAUGUAUUUAUCAAUCGAUUUAAAUAAUAAAAGAAAAGUAAACUAAUAGGAUAAACACUUUGCAUCUAAGCCUCUAUAAUUUCUUUAUUUUCAAUGUGCUGUAAUUAAUGUAUAAAAGAGAUUUUGAAUUGGAAACCUUUUUUCUUUGCCGGCGUUGAAGCCAACCAUUGAUUGGAACCGACGUCUGGCCCGUCUCGGAUAAGGACGGCAGAAAAUCAUUGGACAGACUGAAAUUUUUAUAAUUUAGUAGUAGGGAUAGAAAUAGGGUUUAAUUUUUUCACUCCCAAACUGUGCAGGCCGAAAUCGGCCUCGUAUUGGCCCACGGCCUGCGUGGACUCUGUCCUCCACUCCCGCAGGUCGUGCCUUAUCCAUUCACGGCGCCGCACACUCGUCCUCUCGGCCUCUCAUCCGCGUCGGCAACCAUAACACGACGCUCUCCUCCACUCCAUCCCUCCACCGCCGCAGCUACCACAACCCCUAGCUAGAGUUGGAUCAGCUUGAUCUCAACGUCGGCGAGCCUCGGAGAGGAGACGACGUUCAGUAGUACGUGGGCCACCUUCGCAAAGAGGAGCACCUGUUGUCGGCUCCCGUUCGCGUGCCAAAAGGGGCGGUGUGUCGCGCAACCUCACCUUCUGCAUCGUCGCCUCGCCACAUCGGCGGAGCAGGAGGAGCAUCAUUCGACAUGAGAUCUGCAUCCGUUGAAGGUGGCUUCGUCAAUCCUCCGCAGCGUCCAAGGAGCGGUGCAGCAGCCGCUUCAAGCUGUCGGACGCCGCGUGCCCUAAAGCGGCAUCAUAUAUAUCGCGCGGCCACGACCACGACAUGGUGCGAGGUAGCCAAGCGCAGCGCAUGCAGACGAGCUAGCUGGGCGUGACUAGCUAGGACCUUGUAGCGCGGGUGGCAACGAUCAGGCAUAGGAAAUUAAAAGCUGAGCAAGCACAGAUGAGCCGGUGCGGGCGUGCGGCAACGGUCGGUGUGUUUCUUUUUUUUUUAACCAUUUUUAGGGGUGUUUAGAACUGGUCCACAAAUUUCACCAUAAGCGGCUCUAAAAAAAUUUGGAGUUUGUGAAGUACAUGCUCUCACAACUCCACCAUUUUUCCUUAAACUAAGGAAGCAUUUGAGACUGCUCUGCUCUACGUAUUUUAGCCAAACGGUUCAGCUCCACUCAUUCAGUUUGAGAAAAAAAGGUGGAGUUGUGAGAGCACCUAAACUGUUACUCCACAAACUCCAGUUUUUUGUGGAGCUGCUCCAUGGUGGAGUUUGUGGAGCAGAGUUUGUGGAGCAGUCCCAAACACCCCCUGAGUGCGUGGAGCUGAAACUGUUUGGCUAAAAAACGUAGAGCAGAGUAGUCCCAAACACUUUAUUAAGGCUUAAGCCAACCAAGUCUAGAGGUACAUAUGUAAGAGCAGGCUACCUUUGAAUUAGAGGUGCAUUUUUAGGGUCAGCCACCAGUCCUUCAUUGGAAAUAAUUAAACUACUUUAUAAACAAAAAAACGCGAUCGAAGGAGGAGAGGCCCCCCACCGUAUUUCAAUAAGAAGAAAGUGAUUUUUCGCUAUCGUGAAAAAAUCUCCGAACCCUAGCGUAAAGCUAGGCAAGUGAGGGGAUUUUUAUUUGCAUCCAACUUAAAAUUUACUUCCACGGAGAUUCGAACUCAGAACCUGAGGGGUGCUGCUAGAAAGCUCUAACCGAUUGAGCUAGAAUCCUUUGGCUACUUUAUAACCGUAUACUACUUUAUAACUUUAUAAUCAAUGGAUAGUGUCGGCUUCAAAAACCAUCUCUAGAGAUUGAAUUUGCCCAUAUUUUAAAAUUGUGUCAAGUAUUUAACAAAGAAAACGGUAAGUGCAUCGAAAUAGACUCCACACAUGUGUAAGAAAUAUGUUAUGAGGCUAAAUCAAGGAGAGCCUUUCUCUAGUUUAAACAAGCACUUAAGCCACUCAACAUGUUACCUUAUUCCUUAAGCACAUACUACUAAGUGGAAAUUUACCGCUUUUCUCUUUAGGGACCAAACCAUCACCACGAAUCCUCCAAGUACCCAACCAACCCAGAAUCACUUAAGAAACCAAACAAGCUCCCGUAGAUCAUGGCCCAUCUAAUCAUGAAUAAGUCCAAGUUGUUCUUGAUCAUAGCCACGACUUAUUUAUCAGUUCUACACUGUGCAGAGAUUUUUUUUAACGAAACAUGAGAGGUUUAACCCCCUUUUGGAAUUUUAUUAAAUGAAAGAUCAACAAUACAGAAUCUCAUGAAACAAAGAAAGAAAGAAAAAAAUUAAGAUUACACAUAAGCUUGUAGCCAUUUUAACUAAAUGGGGAUGUAACUGUGUUUUCGCCAUUAAAAUAUAACUAGAGCGAGCUCCUUCUUGAAGACGAAUUUACACCCUUGAACUGAGGGAGGCACACGCUCACCAUUGAAAAUAGCGUUAUUUCUGUUCAUCCAAAUUGACCAACACAUAGUAACAAUAACCUCCAUGAAGAAAGGCAGCUUUAGCUGAAUCUUUUUUUUUUCGUGUGACUGGUUUAGCUGAAUCUUGUAGGAUUCCAAUAUAGUCUCAAUCUCCAAAGAAUUGGGCAGCAAGAGGUGGAGACUGUACCUGCAGGCCAUCGCAAAAGGGCGAUGAAAGAAGAGACGAAGGAAGCCCUCCUUAACAGCAUGGGAGCAUAAAACGCAGUUAUAGUCAUCCAAAUACAUGUCUUUUCUUCUCAGGAGUUGUCUGGUGCUGAUUCUGUCAUUAAGCAGUAGCCAAAAGAAAAAUUUGCGUUUGUUUUGGCAAGCAGAACGCCAAAGCCAUGAAAACCCUCUAUGGAUCUGACGGUGAUGAACCAAAUGCCUGUAAGCAGCGCUAGAGGUAAAAGUCAAGGUACCCCAAAUGUAAGCCCAGAAAUCAUUCAUCGUCUAAAAUUCAAAAGUUUGGAAGAGGGCCACAAGCUGAACAAACUGAUUGUAAGCCUCUGUAGACAGUGGCAAAUGAAACAUACUCUAAGGUAGCAGUAGAGAGGCUGCAGUUUUCAGUGUAAUAUAUUCAUUCCUACAGAAGGAGAACAAUUCUGGGAAACGUUGACUUAGGACACUCAUAAUGCAGACUCUAUUAUAAAGUCUAAAGUUAUUUAUUACCUCGAACAAUGUGGACUUAGAGUCUAAAGUUAUUUUUUCUACCUCUUUCUUCAAUAAAUAUGCUGCCACAUCAACAACAUACUAUAAAUAAUAUGUAAUUAAUUGUCUUGGACUCUAUGAUAGAGUCUUGCAUUAGGAGUGCCCUUAGAGUGCUUCCUUCCGAGUUAUCAUGCCAAAGGAGACAUGUAGCACCAUCUUUAACUGUGACCACUGCUAGACUUUUGAACUUACUCAGCAAUUUUAAAAUGUCACGCCACCUUUAACUGUGACCACUGCAGAGAUGUAGCACCAUCUUUAACUGUGACCACCGCUAGACAUGUACUCCAUCCGUCCCAAAAAGAGUGUCGUUUUAGAAUUUCAGGCAUUUUGUUUGAUCAUUCGUCUUAUUCAAAAUUUUUACAUAAAUAUUAUAUAUUUUGUUAAGACCUAUUUUAUCAUUAGAGAUACUUUUUAAUGAUUUAUUUAUUUUAUAAUUUAUAUAAAUUUUUUGAAUAAGACGAACGGUCAAACACGAUUUCUAAAGUAAAAAACGUCACUCUUUUUGGGACGGAGGGAGUAGCUGGCAUUUUGGACCGCUUUAAUGAUGUUCAUCUGACGCAACAUCGCCUUCAUCCUUGGCAUCACGGCAGAGAAAUCAGCCACCUCAAUCAUAGCUUAAUCAAUUUGAGGAUAAAUUUAGGGCUCCCCAAAUUGAAGGCUCUGAUUACAAAUUUUCAAGGUCCUAGACUGCCAAUCUCAACACUAUGAACAAUUGAUAGUUCAGGCACACAAUUAUUUUUUGAGAAUUAAGGGGUGUAUGGACAGGAGGUCAGCAAAAACGGUAGGGACAUGUUCUUAGACAGAGGAGGAAGACGACUGGUCGUCUGUCAGUUCUGUUUGCCCCUCUCCAAAUGCCGGCUCAAAUCUCUUUAUCUUUUUUUUUGAGGGGAUGAAACCUCUCCUGUCCUCACAAAGGCCUUUGAAAUCAGCCCAUGAAUCCAUCCCAAAAGCCUAGCAUCAAAGCCCAUGUUCAUGACAACUGCCCAGUGGUAAUCGUUCGUUGUAUGCACUUGUGGAAUAUAUGACUUCAUAAAACGAACCGAAAUACAUUUGUUCUAGAGUUAGAUAUACAUGAUCAGUCCUUGUAUUGUAUAUAUUUAAUUUAACUUUAGGAUAGAUUUGGAAUGUGAAUUCGUUGUUUCUUAUCUUAAAAACUGAAACGAUUGAAACCGCUCCACUCAAAAUUUCUACAACUAUUUGGGAAAAAAUGGGAAAAAGUUCACAUUACCUUCCUCAACUUUUGCGAAAAUCCGUUUUCCUUCCCGAACUCUAAAAUCGGGGAAAACAUCUCCUUCAACUUUUAAAACCGAUCAUCUUAUCUCUCUGGCCCUUAUAAGCAGUUUUGAGGGCGGUUUUGUUUUUUGUAUUAUUUAUUUCGGCUGAAUCUUUAAAAAUUAUAGUAAAUCACAGAGAAAUCAUGAAAUAGAAAAUCUAGUUUUCUUGGACCUCACAUGAGUAUAUCUAUAUAAUGAACAUAUAAUAUGGUAUGAUUUAGUACAAAGCUUUGUUGUGGUUUUAGAUAUAUGGUUUUCUGUAAUUAGUUAGAAUAAUUCAUAGUUGUAUUUUUUAUGGUUCAAUUGUGAUGAAGUUUUUAUUAUGGGCUAAUUAUUUGUAUGAUUAAACUGUAGUAAAAAUUUCAUACUCAUUAAAUCAUGUAUAGCUUAGUUAUAGAUCUAAACUUUUAACACAAAAUUUGUACUAAAGCAUAUCAUAUUAUAUAUUCACUAUGUGAUUUACUUACGUAGAGUGUAACAAAGUUAGAUUUUCUAUUUUAUGACUGUUUGUGAUUUACAAUGAUUUUUUAAAGAUUCAGUCGAGUUAAAUAAACAAGAUAAAGAUAAAACGUCUUCGAAACCGCUUAUAAUAGGACCUGAGAGGUAAGAUGAGGGGUUUUAAAGUUGAGGUAGAUGUUUUAUCCGUUUUUGGAGUUCAGAGAGAAAUAACAGACUUUUGCGAAAGUUGAUAGAGGUAAUAUGGACUCUUUAAAAAACCCCUGUAUUUGUUUUUUUUUUUUACCAACCUCAUAGCGGCCGGGCUUUAGCCCUAGGCCCACGGCCACCAGCCCACUACAACGCUUCCAGCUUCACCUUCUUCAGUCCUCUCUGCUGUAGUUGUCUGUAAACACUAGACAGAUUCCGCUCCAACGCCCUCGCCCCCCGUCGCCUUUCAAAAAGCUAGAGAGAUUCCUCGAGAGGGAGAAGCGUGCCCGGCAGCUCCGCUCCAUCCGCCCCCAAGAAUGUCCGACGAGGCCAGGCGCGGCGGGCCCGCGGGCGCCGCGCAGGCGGUGGUCCGGGCCUCCUCCGAGGACCGCAAGCCGGUGGGCGCGGGGUCCCCGCCGCCGGCCGCGGCCGCGGCGGCGGUGGCGGCGCACAAGAUCCAGCUCAAGAGCGCCGACAUGAAGGAGGAGAUGCGGCAGGAGGCCUUCGAAAUUGCCCGCGUCGUAAGAGCCUUACGCCCUCGCUCUCGCUCUGCCAUCUCUCUUCCUGCGCUCGAUUUGGGGUUUUCGUCGCUCCGCCCUUUUUGACGGGUUGUUCGUUAGGAUUUGGGGAUUUAUUUGUUUUUUUUUCUGUCGAUUCCUUCCCUGUCGGUCAGGCGUUCGAGAAGCACAGCAUGGAGAAGGACAUCGCGGAGUACAUAAAGAAGGAGUUCGACAAGAACCACGGCCCAACCUGGCACUGCAUCGUCGGCCGCAACUUCGGUAAUAUUCUCCUCCCAACCCCCUUAUGGGAACUGCUCCUUAAUUAGUAUGGAUAUUGAAUGAUUGCGUCAGUUGUGGUUGAUGUCUAGUCUGAUUUGCUUGCGUGGUUGGAUAUUCUGUGGUUGAUUUCAUACGUGCUAGCUCAUAGAGGUUGUCACAUGAUGCCAAUAGUAGCCACAGGAAACUCUUUUUCCUAAAAUAUAUUAAAAAGGAAAUGAACUUGGGAAAGCGAAGAAGUUGAAAUGGUUACUGGUCAACUGAAGUUAUUCUUCAGAUGAUCUGUGGAGUACAGUAUAUACUUAGUCCAAUAGAGCCCCCAUACAGCUCUGGAUGAAGUAUAGUUUCAGGGAGUGUGGACAGGGUAUGCAAGACCAUGUCUAAUUGCUCUAUUGUGAGUUUUACCUCCUUGCUUCCGGCUUGGCGUAAAUUCUGAAAUUUACUCUUGGUAUCAACCAAAUCCAACUUAGCAAGCUAUCAUUCAAUUUAUUGCAUUUCUAAUUGACAUAUUUCAACUUUCUAUUCACUCUUUGCUGUAUAACCUAAGCUGUUUGGUUAAGUUAGUAACACAUACUUUACGUUGAUAGCUCCUUAGCUUGCUGUCACCUUACUAUAUCUGUAAUCAGAUGCAUUGAAGAAAUGGUAUGACAUUUUAUCUAGACUCCCAAUUGACUGGGUAUGCCAUGUCACCCAAUACUUUGAACUGUCUUGUCCUCUCAACAUCACUUAUUCACUUCAAAAACACCCCAGCAAUUGGUGUACAAUGAGGGAAGUUUAGCAACCUCUACUGCAAUCUGCAUUUGGCAUGGCCAAGUUGUGAACAUGGAUCUAAGAGAACAAUUGUCAGUACUAGAUUGGGGGAAAAACACUUUGAACUUGAAGCAAGUUUAUCUCUGAUGUGAUUAUAUGGGUCUAAGUUCUUAUCAAACAGAACCUUUUGCUGUCUAUGUUUGUAUUCUUUUUUCUACAAAAUGUUAUAUCUUGGACUUUUUCUAUUUAAUUCCUUUUCACUAAAUUUCCUGUGAUUUUCUUAUUAUUAUUUGUAUUUAUAAGGCAGCCUAUUUUAUGAAUAGAAGUCGUGUUAGGCAUAUGUUAACAAUUUGAGACCAGCGAAAUUCUCCCUGCUAUGUCAUGCCACCUGUAUUCAUAUUCUUCUAUAGGCAAUAGAUGUAUAUGUGUAGCAUUCGAUUGUUUAUAGCUUCUUCUUUGUCAUGAUAACAUGUAUUUUUUGUAUUAUUGUAAAUGUUUAAGAAUGCCUAGACACCUAAUAGGGCCUUUCCCUGCAACUUCUAUGUCGUGCAAAGCAAAUAAGACAUAUCUUAUUCUGAACCAUGGUUCAUCAAUGGUAAACAUAGCCCCGAAGAUAGCCAGGCAGAGUCAGCUUAGACGAAGAUUAUGGAUUGGAAAGGUACUUAUUUACAUAUUUGUUGAUUGAUUCUCAUGUGUUACAGGCUGCCUCUUUUAGUGGCAAGUCACGACCCUAGCAAACUCACCUAGCUUAGUAUCUAAGCAACAUGAUCCUAAUAAUCCAUAUCUAAUCAUAUCUCUGGCUAAUUCUAUCUUCCUCUGUUGCAUGUGAUAAAAGGGCUAGGACGGCAUCCUGGUUGCCCAUCACAUAUCACUUCUCCCUCCCUCUAUGAGGGCUACAUCAAUUUGUUAUAGAGCCAUCACCGCAAAUCAUUUAUGGUAGGAUUUUUCGUUCCGUACCAGCAGCUGCUAGUGGCAUUUAAUUGUGCCAGUGGGCUUCUCAUGAUUGGAUUAGUGCCACAUGUUACCCAUUCCGAUGAGUGUUGCGGCUCGGACAAGGCUAGAAAUUUUCAACCAAAGGAAAACGCCUAAAUGCCCCUCUUAAAUUGAAACAUGUUUUAACACUGAAAGUAGUGGCGAUAUUAGAAAAAGGUUUUCUUGAUUAAUGGCAUAGAAACAAAAGGAUGUUGUUGGCUUGUUGCAGUAUUGGAAUUCCCAACCAUUUAUUAUUCUGAGAUUUAGCAAACAUUUCAGUUUUAUUUUAUGCAUUAAAAAUGGGAGGACCGACAAGUACAGAGAAUGCCAUACACUCACAACUGGCUCAUUCUGUGUCACAAGCUAAUCCUAUGAUUCAAUGGCUGUUUUCUUAACUUCCAGUUCUUUCUAUUGGACUUGACUAAUUCUAUUUCACAAACUACUGAGCUGUUUUAAUUUCUAGAUGUUCCUAUUUGACUUGAUUGAUUCUACCUCAAACUAAUUAUAAGACUCAAAUGAAGAGCUGUCUUAAGUUCCAGAUGUUUCUGUUCAAAAAUAUUAUAAUUUUUAAGGCACAGUCACACAUGGCAUGGUCUUCCAAAUUUCAAUUUAACCAAUGACCAUUUAUUUAUUGUAUAUUAUAUUUUGCAUGAUUAUAAAAUUAUAAUCAUUGGAUAGUAUAUUUUAUUAUAAAUUUAAUUGUAUCAAGUUUGUAUUACAACAGUUAAAAACGGUUGGCCAAAUUAUUGGUCAAAGGCUAAUUUGGAUCUUGAUAUGCUUGUGCGCCUUAUAAACUGGCCCAGGGAGACUUAGGAUAUAACUAUAGGAGAAAUAUUAUCUUUAGUUGCGUCUUGUAGUUCAGAGAUAAUCAAUUAUCCAGUUAGAUGAUAGUUAAGAUCCAUAGAGUGACAGCCACACUAGUUAAGAUCCAUAGAGUGACAGCCACACUAUCCUCUUCUGUCUUUGGUAAAUAUUUAUCCGCCAUCUUGUUUACAAUGUCUACAUCCCAUGUCUCUAACAAUGGCCAGUGCUGCCGGAGUUUCUGUGAAACUGUUUUGAUUAGUUAAUCUACAUUCACAACAUGUUCCUUUAUUUUCAGUUUGUCUCGUAUGAGCCCAUGGGUGGCCCUCCAAACAAGCUCUAUCCUCCUAGAAUGCUUUUGUUUUGGUUAUGAUGAUUACUGAACUUCAGUGCCAUAUGCAUUAUCUUUGGAAUGAAAAACUGAGCUCAAGGAAAGCAUGUGCGAUUGGAAUUAACUCAUGAUUCAUGAACCCCUUCCAUUUAUCAUCACCUCUGAUAUACAUAUUGAUUGUAAACAAUUUUGCUAAGCAUUUUUUGUCUGUGAUGCAGGUUCUUAUGUGACGCAUGAGACAAACUACUUUGUAUAUUUCUACAUCGACUCUAAAGCUGUCUUGCUAUUCAAGUCUGGGUGAUUGGCGCAGCCGAUGCAAUCAACCUUGCAUGGCUACAUCUCAUUGCUCUCAUGUAUGCCUCCCUUCCCUCCGAGUCAUCUGCAGCCAAGCUGGAAGCCGGUAAUCUUAUGAGCCUGCAUAUUGAUGUAUCAGCAAUGGAUUAUUCUCCGUAUGCCGGUAGUGUGAGAUCAGAUUGCAUCUUAUUUAUGUCUGAUAUAUCUAGGUGUUGUGAGGACAUUAUCUUGUUGCAAUAUGAUUGCCGGACAAUUGGACGAACUGCCUCUCGUCUGUUUGUGAUUGUUUCGGAAGAAGCCUCAUGCGCAAUAUUCAUGGUUCUUACUGUGGAGUAUUAGUGGGUGUCAUGGUCGAUAUGUGGGUCAUCUGUAUAUAUAUUUGAAUUGUUCGUUGAGAUGCCUGUGGUCCAGAUAACGAGGCCUCCUUUGGAACUCGGGAAAUUUUCAUGUUUCCUGUGUUUUUCAUGUGAAAAUGAACGGAUUCCUGUGAAAAUCAUAUACAAUUCCUGUGUUCCAAAGGGGCCUAAUAUUUUUUUUUAUAUGUACCAAUCGGGCUUAGGCCUUGUUUGAUCCAUUAGAGCACUUUGAGGUAUUGGAGUAGCCUAAUAUUAUUUGUAUGAUUUAUUAGAGUUGCUGCAUUAGUUCCUCAACAAUAUAUCCACACCCAUUGGGCAUGUAGGGUUGCCUUCACUUUUUUUUUCUUCCCUCUUCCGUAGGCUAGUAUCAAUGUUAAACUCCCAGAGCGUAUGUUUCAUCCAUUUUCAUUUCAUUCUACAUGGUAUAACAGUAUUGGAAACAAUAUAAAACUCUCCACUGGUAUUGGUCUUACCAACACUGCCUUUUGCACGAUCAUGCUGCAAGAGAGAUUGCAAUGGCCUCAGUUCCAUAAUAAUUACACAGUUAUUCAUUGUAUUUUAUUUUCAAAAGGUUAAAUUUUUAAAAUUUGACAAGACAUAUUAAAGACAAUAUAUUAUUCAUAUCACAAAAUAAAUUUAUUAUAAAAAUAUAUUAUAUUAUAGUUAAUUUAAUAAAAUUUAUUGAAUAAAUAUUAGUGUUUUAAUGUUUAAUUAAAUUUUAAAAAAUAACUUGUCGAGGGGUAAAAAUGUACUGUACUCCGUACUCUUUAGCAACCAUCGUCGUCAUGCGGCCCAUCAACACACGUGAUAUCUUAUCUUCUCGGGAAUUGAGUGCACGCGAGGCGGCCCAUUCCCAACAGCUUUUGUUUCGCUGGAGUAUCUUGGCGUGCCAGACUGCCAGUGCGUCAUGUGAUGACCGGUGCAGUGCCCUAAAUUAUCUUCGCGAUCCUUCGGUCCCGUGCCGACGUGCCUCGGGCCCGCGCAUGCACAUCUCGGGUUUUUUUCCUCUGAAUUUAAAUUCUUAUAAUUGUUAUUAGAUUUAUAAAAAGUACUCCCUCCAUUCAUUUAUCUCCUUCAUCUAAGCAAAAAUAUUUUAUUCAAAAAUCUCCUUCAUAUUACCUUGGGACUUGCCUACAUUUAUUGUCUUUUUGCUGCUCAUUGGUUACCACUUCUCUGCAUUUAUUGUCUCUUUGCUGCUCAUUGGUUGUUCCUUGCCUCUGACUCCUCAUAUGCGCUCAGCCCGAGAUGAUUAAAUGUAAAGUGAGUGCUUUUGCGAUGCUUCUUGGUCAUUGUGUCGAAGGCUAAAACGAAGGAGAUAAAUGAACGGAGGGAGUACUCCCUCCGUCCACAAAAGAAUCAAUUUCUAGAGUUGUCCUAAGUCAAACUUUUUAAACUUUGACCAAAUUUCUAGAAAAAAAUGCUAAGAUUUAUAGUAUCAAAUUAGUAUUAUUAGAUUCAUCAUAGAAUAUAUUUUCAUAUAAUGUGUAUUUUAUAUUAUAGAUGUUGUUACUCUUUUUCUAUAAAGUUAGUCAAACUUUAAAGUUUGACUGGCACGGAUCCUAGAAAUUGAUUCUUUUAGGGACGGAGGGAGUACUAUUUAAUAUUUAUAUAUUUUGUAAUAUGUUUAUGAGAGAAAUGUAUCUAAUCUUACAUUAUAAACAUUAGUUUUUUCAUUUAAUAUCAUUAGAUUGUAGUUUUUUCAUUUAGUAGAGUAUCAUUAGAUUGACCGGUCACCGCGAAGGCGACGACUAUCUGAAUCUAAUGUCGUGGGACACGCGGCUUGUGCGGUUGUGCCAGUCACCGCGCAGGCGACGAGUGCAUGCCGGCAGCACAAGGCACAACCAAUGCAAGGCCUUGUUUAGUUCUCCAAAAAUUUUGCAAAAUUUUUCAGAUUCCCCGUCACAUCAAAUCUUUAGAUGUAUGCAUGAAGUAUUAAAUAUAGAUAAAAAUAAAAACUAAUUGCACAGUUUGGUCGAAAUUGACGAGACGAAUCUUUUGAGCCUAAUUAGUCCAUGAUUGGACAAUAUUUGUCAAAUACAAACGAAAUUGCUACAGUGCUUAUUUUGCCAAAAAUUUUGGAACUAAACAAGGCCCAAAUCGGCUGACGGCUGGAGAGCGACGAGAUCAGCGGGGCGCUGAAGCAAAGCGCAUCGACUUGUUUUUUUCCAAGCACCGUGCAACGUACCCUGGCCUGUGAACGCACGACAGAAUGGAAGGGAGUGGGAAAAAAAAAAACUGCGCAGUCGCCACUCGAGCAAUUCGGUCAGUCGUCCACAUGAAAUCAUUUUUUACCGUCAGUGGCGCUGAGCAACUGUUGUGAGUCUGUGAACAUGGGAGGUGAUGGUGGUGCUGGGUUCUCUGCACCGGACGGACAGGUACGUCGAGUCGAUUUGCUACAGGGAGAUUUUUCGUAGAGAUUCUCGCGGCGCACAGAAUGCGCCGUUUCGCAUCUCAGACCGCAUGUACAACAGUAGUAGUGCAUCCCUACUUUUGCCAUACUGCCUCUCAUUGAGGCCUUGUUUACUUCUAACCGGAACCUAAAAUUUUUUAAUCUUUAAACACAUACAUAAAAUAUUAAAUAAAAAUAAAAAUAAAACUAAUUAUAUAGUUUAGUUAAAAUUUACGAGACGAAUCUUUUGAGCCUAGUUAGUUCAUGGUUGAUAAUAAUUAUUAAAAAUAACAAAAGUGCUAGGGAAAUUUUUUCCUCACUAAUUAAACAUGGCCCGAUUGGAAGCGUUCGCACCACGUUUCAUUUCUUUUUUUUUGUUUAUAUAUACUCUAUCGUUCGGUUCGUUCAUGUUGAUGGUUCUGCUUACUUGAGAAGAUUAUUUUAACAGUAUUUUUUUUAUAAUAAAUCGGCGACUUUUAACCAUAGCUUUUCUGCUAAGCGAACAAGCCAUAUCCAACAAAGAUAGACACAAGUUUUGUUAUCAGAUGAAAAAAGAAGAGAAAGAGCCUACAAGUUCAUUUGGCGAGAGGACGUGAAAGGUAGGGUAGGAAUUGGAAGAAACUGCAACUUUAUUACGUGAUAAUAGCUCUGUAGCGAGUACAAAACGAACGUAAAACAGCAGCAAGAGUGCAGAACCCUGCUCCUUGGAGGAAGUACAUCUGAUCUGAAUCUCACUAGAGCAGAGCAGAGCAUCCAGCCCACACACCCAAACACACGGCGGCGACCACAGGCCGCUCUAUCUCCUUGUUUGUAAUGGCAAUCUCCCGUCGGUCGUCCGACCCCAGAGGAUCCAGCUUCACAAUCACAACACAUCGCACAGCGACCAACCGAGAGAAAGACCACCCUGCUGCUCUCCACGACCAUGCCGGGCGUCACAGAGCGCGCGCGGCGCGACGACGCCGUUCGCCAGACGACGAACCCUGACACCCCCCUGCACCUCUUCCCACCCUGGUACUGGUAGGUAUACAUACGGUACGUCAUACGAGACGAGGCGGCGGAGCGGGGGGGUCAGGGAGGCGGGGGCCGUUCAGGCCCGGGCGUAGGAGCGGGCGAGGUGCGCGGCGCGGAGGUCGGCGGGGUCGACGGCGGCGGCCCAGUUGGCGGGGCGGUAGUGGCCCGUGACGGGGUCGGGCACCCACGAGAUCUCGGAGCUGGCAGCGGCGCGCCCGCCGGCCUCCCUGGCCUCGCCCGCACCAGCCGCGCCCUCCGCCGCGGCCGCCGCGCGCCUCAUGGCCCCGGACGCCGCCGACGCCGCGUAGCCCCUGAUGCUGGCUGCCCUGGGUGCCAGCGACGCGAGCACGGCGCGCGCGGAGGAGAGAGCGACGAGAGCCAUCGGACCAGCUGCUGGCCUUUCUGCUGCUUGGGCAGGCAAGCAAAAGGAUCGGACGGCUGGCUGUGGCUGGCUGGUGGCGCUCUGCUGCUCUCUCCCGUGCUCUGCUUUGCGGCUGCU
rnacentral:lncRNA from 1 species